rnacentral:lncRNA from 1 species
GAUGGAGAUGAAGGUUUGGGUCGGAAUCUUCGAGAAUGAAGGUUUGGAAGAGGAAGAUGAAGAUUUUGUUUGGAAAGAGAAGAUGAAGGUUAUUAAAAGGAGGUGAUAUUACCGUUUGGAGCUCGCACGUGCCUCACCUUUUUCUUUGUUAUUUUUGGUUUAUUUUUUUAAUUAAUUAUAUGCGAGGAAUUAAAAAAAUACAAAAUAAAAAUAAAUACACAGGUGGCGUGCCACAUAGGAUUGACUGAGUCAAAAUUGACGUUUUGCAAAAGGGGGUAGACAUGGGGUCACUUUUGCCAUUUUUUUUAAUAGGGGGCCAAAAUUGCAACUUUUGCAAACUUAAGGGGCAAAAAGCGCGUUUUAGCCUAGAAAUAAUUGUCACAUCAAAUAUUGCGAUGUGCUUAAGAGAAAGAAGAUUGAAAUGAAAGCACUAUUUUUGAUACUCGAGCUGAUCGGAUUCAGAGUAUGUAUACAAGCAAUUUUUUCGUACAGCAACAAGUCACUUCCUUGAAUCUCUAUACAUUCUCUAUAUAUAAAGAUUAGGAUAGAAAAUGGGGACAAGCUGUGAAGAAUUUGUUUUUUUGAGAGAAGAGUGAGAGAAAGAGAAAUAAGAUGAAAGAGAGUGUUGUGGGAGAUAGGGUGUGGUUUACGCCAUAGAGAACUCCCUAUAAGAAAGGGAUCAAGGCAACUCACAAUCCUAACGUGGACGGUGCAUGCAAUAGAGUUGAAGGGUAUCUAAUAUCUUUCAACUACAAUAACAUGGGACAGACAGACAUACAUAUACAACUAGAAAAAAAAAUAGUAUCACUUUAUUCAUGAAAUGACCAUUUCAACAUAUGGAAAAUGCAAUGCCAAUUGAAUUCUCAAGAAACAUACGUUACAAACACACUUGAAGGCAUCAAAUUGAUAGCAGAAUCUCAAACGGAAGAAGCUACAAAGAUGAAACCAAGUGAAUUAAAAAGACUGCUACACUUUGAUCAUAACUCAAGAAUUUGUCACCUCCCAACUCUUUUUCAUGUAUGGAGGCAAAUCUGCUUCCAACUCAAGUGAUUCAACUGCUGAAAGGUCAUAACUUGAAUCUGAUACUGAUUGCACAUUUUGCAGUGCUUGAGAUAUAUUGGGCAAGACUAUUUGCUUGCAAUGAAGAUGUAAUCGUGGAUGCUUGUCUGAGAUGCUCCCCUUGUUCAAAUUAAGGCCAAAAGGGAGCGCCUCUUCCUUGAGAUGUUCUUCAGUUGAGUCCUCCAGAUUAGAGAAAUCAAACUGUCCCCACUUCUUAUGAGCUUGCCGUCCAUACUUGUAGUCCCCAACUAUCGGUGUACCUAACACUUCAGCACAGUGGACACGGAGCUGCAGAACCAGCACAAACAAUCAGAAUAGAAAUUAUGGGGAUGCAGCAUAUGCAUUGAUUAAACACUUUAAGUUAGUACCAAGAUCAGCUGGUUUUGAUUUUUCCCUUUUUUCUAUUACCUGGUGUUUUCUACCGGUUAAGGGGGAAAGCUCCAACCAUGUAAAACCUGCAUCAUUACCGGUGACAUGAGUAGGGGUUGGCAACUGAGAAGAUCAGAAGAGACACAUUUUGAAGGAAAACUCAUCAUAACAAAGGGGGGAGAGGGAAGGAUGCAUCACAAAUUUUCAAUAUAUCCUAGGCUCGAACAUUUGCAAUUAGGUCUGCUGUGAUAAAAAUCAUGUAGGACAUCAUCUAUUGGUUUAAUUACUUGUGCCCAGACUAUAUUCUAUUUCCCAAAUAUGAAAUUAAAUUGAAAUCCUGCUUUUUAUGUAGCUAUCAGUUCACUUUUGUGUAUGCUUUUUUGAAUAACAUGUGAUGAUAUGAAAUUAUUAAACUAAAUUAUGUAAUAAAUCAUUUUGUAAAUUCGACUAGUUUGGAAGCAUGCAUUUCAGAAAUUCCACUAGGAGGGAUGUUAAUUAGUGCUUGAGAGGACGAAACUAAAGAUAAGUUUAAAAUGUCAAAGACACUGCAAAAGGGAAAAAAGAACCUGAACCCAGAAUCAUGUUGUGCUAUAAAACACAAGUUCACCCACACUUAAUGGGACAAUCACAAAUGUCAAUCUCUAAAGUUAAGGUGACUUAAAACUCAGAAUUUAACCAACCAUGAGACGAUGAUGAAAUCACUCGGUACUCUGUAACUGCAUGUUGCGAUGACAGUAAUGCAGAAUUGUCAACGAUAGUUAUUCGAUCAGAUUUUCCAUUGUCAACCACCACCUAAAACCAAAUGAACAUUAUUCACAAUAUGAGGACAUCCAACAACAUUGUGACAUAAGUAAGUUCAGAAUAUGGAUACAAACCUUACCGAGUGGAGCAUUAACAACCCCGCCUGAACGUCUAGGACAUCCAAGAACCAAUGCCCAAUACCUUCUUUGUAGGAUUAUCUUUUCAGUGUCAUUCUCCUCAUUUGAAGCCCUUGAAGUUUUUUCACGGAAGAUGGAAUGCAGAAGUGCGGUAGAUGUCUUUGUUCUUCCCAUGACAAGAAUUCCAGAACAGUCUCUGUCUAGUCUAUGGACCAAACGAGGAGGUUGAGAGUAAUCAUAAUUUAAAGAUUGAGCAGCAACAGCAUCUAAACUCAGUUUGAUAUUAAUGCCACCCUGCACUGGCAUUCCAGGAGGUUUGUUUAGAACAAGAAUGUGAGGAUCUUUAUAGAUAACAAGAGAACGAAUGAAGUUUAUUUGUUUAGCAGUGAGAGUGAGGGGAGAUUCAUGUUUGGGGGGUGUAGGAGUAAGAGGAAUUUGUUGUUUAACAGAAUUGGGAAGAAAUAUACGAUCUCCUGAGUUCAAAGUAUCCUUAGGUGUUACCCUUUUGAAUUUGUUAUCAUCUUGUUGUCGUGGGAGCAUUCGAACCUGUUUUAGACGAAAGAGUUUAUGAAUAAGGGUUUUAGGUAAUUCAGGGCAACAUCGAAUAACCCAUUUCAGGGCAGGGGUCGAAGUCGAAGAGGAGGAAGUGUUUACAGUAGUACUCACAGGUGGCAGUGUAAGCCAUUUUCCAUCUUCCGCCACCGCCGAAGAUGACAACUGACGACGACGACUCCAUGAUCUCACGGCGGCUCCGACUCGGACAUACAUGUAUGUUUAGUUAGUGCUCAAUGAAAAAUGAUGGCCGCCGCCCAACAUUAACGAACCAGGUAGAACGACCGUCAAGAUCGGUGGGCCCAAACCAAAUUGUAAACAUAUACUAUAUGCUAAUAACACGCCUUAUUUUCCUCUUCACCCCUAGAUUCUACUAAGUUUAUACUCCAUCCGUCCCUAAUUAUAUGUCUUUUUUUAUAAGACCAUUUUGUCAUUUCCAACUACAUUAAUUAUUUCUUUACAUACAUGCCCCUAUUUAUUAUACAUCUUUUUCUUCAAUCAGCAAUAAGUAGCAUAUGGAAAACAUAAACUAACUCUCUCUCUUAAGGAUAAAAUUGUAAAAACAAUAGUGAUUACAAACAAAUUUAAUACAAAUAUCCGCUUUCUUAAUUCCCGUGAUUUUAGCAAAAGGGUCUUAUAAUUAGGGACGGAGGGAGUAUAUACUAUAAGGUUAAUUAACUAAGGCUUAAAUAUUUAUUUCAUCUUGAAAUUAGGGGUCGUUUAAAAAUUAGUCAUUGUAAUCGUUAAUUCUGGAAAUUUAACCUUGCAUUGUUUAAUCAUUUAAAAUUUCGUCCCUCCCCCCACUUAAUCACUACCAUGUCACUAAUUUGAUGACGUGGCAAUCACUACCAUACAUGAAAUUCCAAUUUUACCCCUGGGUUUCCAAUUCUUUCUUCAAUAUUUUGUCCUCUUCUUAAGGGCAAACUUGAAAUUUCAUGUGUGGUAGUGAUUGCCACGUCAUCGAAUUAGUGACGUGACAAUGAUUAAGUUGGUCAAAGGACGAAAUUUUAAAUGAUUAAUGAUUGCAAGGCUAGUUUGCAAAGAUUAGCAAAUACAGGGACCAAUUUUUAAACGACCUCUAAUUGCAAGGAUGAAAUACAUAUUUAAGCCAUUAACUUAACUGUUCUAAUAAACAUCCAGAAUUUUGUUUUUAAAACCUUAAAAAAAAAUCAAAAGUUUUACUCCUUUAAAAUUUUCCCUAUGUUAAGUCAAUACUUUAUAUAAACUUUAAAUCGUUUACACCGUUGAACCUAAUUUUAUUUUCCAUUAAUUUUUCUUCUGGUUGAAUGAUAUACAUGUUUCAAUGUUCAAUUAAGUGUUGGUGGAAAUUUUAUUUUAAAAUUCUAGGUACAUGAUGAAUCAGGUAAAAAAUCAUUUCUUCUUAAGGUAGAAGUAUCACUAUAAUUAUCAACGACAUAAAUCCUAAAAUCAAACCAUAGAACUUACGAUGUUUGAUAUAUACCUACUCAAUUGCUUCCAAGUUUCAUCAACCCCUGAAAUUUUGAAUAAGGAAACCAUUUUUUGACUUUCAACAGUUAAACCAUUGAUAAGUCAACGAGUAAGAAAAAAGUAUGAAACAUAACAGUUUACUCACAAUUUUAAUUACUGAUAGUGGAUCUUAAAUGCAAUCGGAGUUGAUGGAAGCAUGACUCAUAACGGUGUGAUACCUACAAACAAUUUAACGUUCAAGUCGAUUGAGGUAAGUGAGAGGUUUAACAUAACGAAACGUGUACAUUUCUCAUAAUGAAGAUGUUUAUAGCAUGGGAUUUAAAGGAAAUGAGUGAAAAUUUGUAGGUUGUCUUUGAAAUCAAUUAAAACCAAUCACAUGUACAUAGUUAGUGGAAACGCGUGGUAGAAGUCUUCAUUUAAGUCAGCCACUGAGUGAUGAUCGUCCGAUCCGGCCCGUUUACGUGUCUUAGGCUAUCAUCCAACUCAGGAUGUUAAUUACCGUUGAUAGAGAUUAUGACGUAGACUUCUACUUUGGAGUAGUCUUUGAAUGUGUGACAUACUGAGAAGUUUUCCGGUAAGCGUGCGAGUGAGGACAAAACACGCUGAAAAGACUCGUGUUGGUUUCUACCAAAACAAAAAUAAUGUUAAAUAUAUGUUAUAAAUUGCAUAUAGUAAUAAAUAACUAAAGUUCGAAGUCCACAAAAUAUAUAUACAUAAAUGACUCAAAGCCUAGAUGCAAAUAUUUUUUAGUAGUCAGUAAUAAUGCUAAACAACCUAUACAAAAUACUUAAAAGGCAAAUCCUAAAUGCCUGACAAAAUACUUAAAAGGCAAAUCCUAAAUGCCUGACAAAAUACUUGAUCACGAUUUCACAAGUGAGUAAGGCUAAUUAAGUUUCAAGGCAAAGACCAGAUGCCUAACAAAAUAUUUAAUGGCAAAGGUUAUAUGUAAUCAUAAAUCACGAAUAAAUCGUCAAUUAUAUGGAUUAUCUUCCAUCAUAUCAACACUUUCAUCUUCAUCAUUUCCUCCAUCAUCAUCAUCAUCAUCACACCACUUGCACCAUUUCCAUUGUCUGUCUUCUAUAUCUUCAGACACAUCAAACUCAUCCACAUUUGUUGCAGAUGCAGAACUAGUACCACUAGUAUUUCUGGUACCAAUCAGCUCAACAUCUAGAUCAAGUGGUGAAAAAAAGAACAAUCCCUUGUAACUAUUGUAGUCUCGGAGCACUUUUGUCUAUAAAAACGCAAUCAUUGUUGUGAAAUAUUAGUCAAAUCGUCAUCUUGCUUAAUUUCAAGUUCGCUAACACAGUCUUUAAUUUCCAAAUAGUUUCUUUUUAUCGCUCCCUGAUAAUAUGAGUAAAUCAUUAUUCGAGGGAUGUAAUGUUGUCAAUGAUAUUCAAUUCUAUCAUUUCAAAUUUCUAAGUGGACAAAUUCAGUAGCAAGUUUUAGUAUUCAUUAGAACUUUCAAUAAUAUAAGGCAAAUAGUUGAGAUUUUUCUUGUGUGUGUUAAGGUGCGUGGGUGACUUUACACCAAAUUUAUAACCAGCAUAUCAUACUUUUUUUGACCGAACCAACAUAUCAUACUUAUAUUAUAACUGCACAAAUAAGGUAUUACCCUGACUUAAGAGAGAUACAUAUGAUAUACAUCUAACCUGACCAUAAAUAGAAGAAUAUUGUUGCAAGGAAGUUAUAUAUGAUGGCAUGAUGCCAAAUAUUUUGAGUGGAUAUGACAUUUCAUUCAUUAUGCGCGCGCAUCCACUUUAUGAGUUCGAGAGACAAGAAUUAAUGUAGCAAAGGCCUAGUUAGUGUAACGCCUCCGCUUGGUGGGCAUAUAACACCCGAGGCUGAUGAGGACGGGAAGUGGUCCGGUUCUAGGCAAAACUGAAUCACAUCGGAAUGAGAGGGAUCCUGAGGCCGUACAUGUAUGGGACUGCAUGGUUGAAGGAAGGCUUAUAAGAAUUGUUUGGUACUACCUAUAUCAACAAGAUGUAUCUUCUUUUCGGUAGCUCAUUCCAUAAGAACUCCACAGUUAAGCAUGCUUGACUUGGAGCAAUUUUGGGAUGGGUGACCUACCGGAAAGUUUCCCGGUAAACGUGCGAGUGAGGACAAAACACGCUGAAAAGACUCGUGUUGGUUUGUGGGAUCAGUCCGCAAUCCUGAAAGUAGUCUGGGAUGUUACAGUUAGCAGGGUCAUUCAGAAGUGCAUAUAUAUAGUAUGCUAAAAAUGCAAAUAGAAGACUUUGUCCUGCGCAACUUGAUUAUGGUUUUGAAUUUGAACGGAAAGACAUGGUGAAGGUGCAUGCAUAUAUAUGACUUAGAAGUUCCACAUUAAAUAAAAGAGGAGUGUUAUUUGAACAAUCAUUUGGUUGACAAUUUUUGGGACUUAGAAGUUCCACAUUAAAUAAAAGAGGAGUGUUAUUUGAACAAUCAUUUGGUUGACAACUUUUGGGACAAUCAUAAUUUAUAAAGAAAAAGUUGAUAUUUGCACGAAAACCAAAGCAAUAGAGAGAUAAAGUAAAAAGUAAUGUGAGUAUGAGAGAGAAAGUUGUCACAAAAGUUAUCAUAAAAUGGAUGUUCAAAUAUCAUUUCUCUAAAUAAAAAAAAGUGAAGGUUGGGCCAAGACAUCUAAAACCCUUGGUUUAGACCUCUGAACAAAUAUUUUUAUUAGAUUUUAUAAAUAAAAAAACAUCAAAAGUAAAAAAAACAUGCAUAUUAAAAUUUGUUUUAGGAUUCAUUUAUUGAAAAUUAUUGGGGUGACCUUUUGAUAUUUUGAUAUAGUGGGGUAAAAAGGUAAAUGUCAGGGUUCAUGUCACCAGAAAAAAGUAUACAGUGUUUAUACGGUUGAAAAGGCAAUAGUAGUAAGCUGAAUGAGAGAAGAGAAGACAAACUGUGGUUCAUGCAUUUGAACAAAUUUUACACAUAUAGCUAUUUGUAAAAUAAAACGCAAAUUGUUAGAGAUUGCUUGAAAUUUGUAAAUUCACUCUAGCUAGCUACCACAUGAGUUAAGUUGAUUGUGUCCAGGUUCAGAGCCACUUGGCAAAAUAGAGACAUAUAGGAAAUAACAUUUUUGUUAUUUUGAUAAACAUUACCAUAAUUAGAUAUUUAACAUCAGAUCAACUUUUUGUGGUCUUAGGUAAUUAAGUCAAGUAUGAUGGUAAAUUUAACUAACCUUGUUAUGCAAUCUCAUGACACGUUGAUCUAAUCUAGCUACAUGCACACAUUAUAUAUACCAAUAUAUCAUGGAUUAGCUAGUUCCUGCAAAUUAAAGUAGAAGAUUGAUCAUAGAAGCAACCUAUGUUGACUAGAUUUCCCUGUAUUGUUUCUAAAAAGUGACAAAUAAUUUGCAUUAAUUGCUUAACGAGUUAAUUAAUUUCCCUUUGUUUGAUAGCGUAGACUUUAGCAAAUUAGGAGGUGGUGUCUCAAAACAAUUAAACUCCUUAUGAGCAACACUAUAAAUAGCAAUGCAUGUAUAGCAUGCUCUUCUAUAUAGCAAAAUCACAUACAAGUUAUUAAUAAUGGUUGGAAAAUCAGUCAAAUUAUAUUACUUUGUUAUUAUUGUUAUUAUUUUGUUUGAGUUGAGCUUCCAAUUCCAACAUGGGAUGGCUCGGCCACUAAAACAGCAUAAUGAUGAAGAUGAUCAGCAUAAUAUUAAUACUAAUAGUGUUGUAAUAAUAAGCAGUAGUUCAGCACAUAAUAAGAAAGUACUUGAGGAGAUUAACAACUCUGGUCCUAGCCCUGGAGAAGGCCAUAAGCAACAACUACCAGAUGGCUAUCAUCAUUAAUAUUCCAUCCAUCAUUUUAAUCAAGAAAAAACAUGUUCUCUCUAUUUCAUAUGAAUUUAAAUAUUAUAGUGGCUACUUGGUUGUCUGCAUUCUUGUAUAUAUGUAUGUUGUGUGUGUUCUUCAGGGAAUUAAUAUAUCUUGGCUUUAUUGUUUCCAAUGGUCAUUCUUAUAUCCUAAUCUUCUAGUUCUUCCUCAAUGUAAUAUUCGAACAAGCAAUAUAUAAAGUCAUAUAUAUCUACGAUCUUGUUUUUUUUUCCUUCAAUUUUUACAUAUAUUAAUUAUCAUGUUGGCAUACUAUAUAUAUGCUUACUUUUUCUUUUAAGUGUUUUGGCAAAGUGCCUUAAGAAAAAGAUUUGUCUAUCAUGUGUAAUAAUUGCACAUGUUAAAAGAACUAAAAGAUAUUUUAUUAUAGAAAAAGUGGGGUAAGAGUCUAAGAGAUUCAUAUAUUAGUUAUGUGCAAAAUAUAAAUAUGAACUAUUGCGUGAGUUUACAUGUCCCAGUCUUCCUUCAAAAAAAAAAAGAAAAACUACGGCCUAGUCAAUUUAUCUUUAAUGCCCUCUUUUUCUUUUUGAAAACAGAGGCUCAAAGCUUUUCAUCAAUAUGUAUUUUUGAAAUAAUUUUUAUAUGUAUUUGAUGAGUGUGUCUAAAUGAUAUUGUGACUAUAUAUAAGUAUUUCUCUUAAUUAUAUUAGAGGGUAUAAUUAGCAAAAGAAUAACUAAUAUCACAUUAAUAACUGAAAAAUCAUGAACAUAAAAUUUUAAUUUUUUUAACAAGAUAUGAAUCAAAUAUGAAUUUUUAAGAACCAAAAACAAAAAAAAAUUAUACUUAAUUCAUUUUUUUUUUUUUUUAUAGUUUGUCAUAAUAUUCUACCAAUUUUUGGAAAAUUUUAUUAAAAAAUAUUAUGGCUAGAGCUGGGUUGGCUAAAAAGUAAAGAGCAAAAGUGAUGAUGAAUUUUUGGAAUUUUUUCACCGUCCGGCGACCCCGGGCAUUUGCCCGGGUUCAAUCGGUACUUUCUUUAUAUAUGACACAACCAAUAGCCCAUUAACCCACUUAAAACAAAAGAAAUUUUUUAGCAAAAUCUAAAAAUUCUCACACGCAAAGAGGUUUCGGAAAAGAUAUUUACCUUCUAAUUUUAUUUAACACACUAUUGAUAGGUUCAUCUCUCUUAUUUUAAAGGGUUAAUUGUUUAAAUUGACCAUGUAAUAUACACUAUGUCUGAAAAAUGACCCUGUAAAAUACAAAACAUAUGUUGUCAAAAAAAAAAAAAUACAAAACAUAUAUUUUUUCACGAUUUUUUCCAUACAUGUUUAGCACGUUAAAAUAUAGUUUUACACUAAAAAUAAAAUUUUUUUGACCAGGGAAAAAUUAAUUAUGAAUUUUUAUUCCCCCAUAAUUAUGAAUUUCUUAAACAAUUUAUAAUUAAUUUGUAUCUCAUUUAAAAACUACAAAAUUUCAUUGUUAAGGUUCUUAUCAUGUUCUCGUCAUGCCUAUAAAAUUAGGGAACUAAAUUUGACCUAUGAGUAUACGUUUACUCGGAACAAAAUUUCAAUUUACAGAUGUCUCUGCAAAUAAUGAGCUCAAAAUUCGAUUUAUAGGUCGAGAUUUCCGUUGUUUUGUUUUUUGAUUUUUUGACACUUUAAAAAUUCAUAAUUAAUUUGUUGUUUGUCGAAAAUUUAUAAUUUUUUUUUUGUGUAAAGCCAUAUUUUAAUGUUCUUAACACGCCUCUAAGAAAUCAUGAAAAAAUUCAAUCUCUUGGUUGCUUUUUUAGACUUCGCGUAUAUUACAGGGUCAAAAUAUGUGUUAUUUAAUUACAGGGUUAAUUUUCAGACUUUACGUAUAUUACAAGGUCAAUUUCAAUAAGUAACCCUAUAAUGAUGAACUUCUUUUAUUUUGAUUUAUGAUUGUUUAUAUAUUAUGUUACAUGUGAAUUUGCGAUAAAUUUUUUACCCAAAUUCUAUAAAAUUCCUAACUCCGCCAUUGUGUUGAAACACAGACUAUUUUUAUGAGAGUGCAUAUCCUUUAAAUUAAUCCAUUCACAAAUGGUUAUUUAAAAAUAAAAUGGAAUUCUCUCUCUCUUUCCCCCCUUCCCCAUUCCUCUUUAUUUUGCUAAGGCUGAAAUUCCAUUUUGUUUUUGUUUGUAUGCUAUAGUACAUUGCUCAAAUCACUAGUUUUAGCGCAAGUUGUUGAUGCACAUAGUAUGUUUCUCCUCAAAAAAUUGUUUUAAGUGUAUAGGUUAUACUAGAGCAUAUAUAUACAUCUUGUUUGAUUGUUCUUUUUUCAUAAGGGGGAAUAUUAUAAAGUGAAAUACGUAAUUUAAGUCAUGUUAGAAAGUCAGGGUUUUAUUUGAAUUUAAAAUUACUCUUAUUGUUGUGCAUGAAAUAUAUGUUAAAUAAUAUUUUUUGUUGUGCAAUAUAUAUAUAUAUAUUUUAUGAACUGACCAAAGGCUCAAGCUCAGCACACAUAUAAUCCUCUUGUUCCCCCUCAAAGACUAGAAUUUGGAUUCGCAUCAUUACUCAAAAGGCUCUGUGCAACACCUAUAAGAGACACUCUUUACUCUCUUUUACUGAUCCAUUAGAGCUUCGUAACCCUGACCCAACUCCCAUCUAACAUCUUGAUCAUGUUUGCAAGUACUUGUGAAAUGAAUAUUGAAAACUAUAUAUAUGCUAUAUUAUUUGUAUUUUUGUGGUAUUCCCCGUAUGCUCAAUUAUCUGCUAAAGAUGGCAAACCUUGUACUAAAAACUGCAAUCAACAUUCAUCAGUUUAAUUAUACCUCAAAUUGGGGUGAGGUAGGUACAUAUACCUACAAGUCCAAAUGCGUAUAUAUAAGGAUAUAGUGACUUUCUAGUGCACCAAUUGAUCCAGAUUGCAACCUAACAUUCUUUAUUAUAGUACAUACAUGCCACUCAGAUUAUUAUAUAUAUAUCAUCUGAUCAUUCAAGGAAAUUAAUUAACAAAUUAAGAGAGAUGAAUGAGAUUAAAGGGAAAAUGGGGUGUGAUAAUGAUAUUGUAGAGCAUGUGUUCCUUGUAUCGUUCCCGGCGCAAGGACACGUGAACCCUCUAUUGAGGCUGGGGAAGCUGUUGGCCUCAAAAGGUUUGGCAGUGACUUUUUGCACACUAGAAAGCUGGGGCAAAGAGAUGAGAAAAGCUAGAGAUUUAGAAGAAGAGAAGGAAGUUGUGAUAGGAAAAGGAUUUAUUAGAUUUGAAUGGUUUGAAGAUGGUUGGGAUGAGGAUGAACCAAAACGGCUUGACUUGGAUGUGUAUUUGCCACAACUAGAGAUGGUUGGGAAACAAGUCCUCCCUACCAUAAUCUCCCAACAAAAUCCACCUGUCUCAUGUUUGAUUAACAAUCCUUUCAUUCCAUGGGUUUCUGAUGUUGCUCAAUCCCUUUCCCUCCCUUCUGCUUUGCUUUGGAUUCAAUCAUGUGCUUCCUUCUCUACUUACUAUCAUUACUAUCAUAAAUUAGUUUCUUUCCCUUCUCAAUCCCAUCCCCAUAUUCAUGUUCAGCUGCCAUGUAUGCCUCUGUUGAAUUAUGAUCAAGUCCCUAGCUUCUUGUAUCCCACCACUCCCUAUCCAUUUCUUAGAAGGGCGAUCUUGGGACAGUUCCAAAACUUGCAUAAACCUUUCUGUAUUUUAAUGGACACCUUUUUUGAGCUUGAGUGCGACAACCUUCAAUACAUGUCGUCCAAGACUAAUUGUCCUAUUAUUAAGAGUGUUGGACCCCUCUUCAAGUGAUCACGAAACAAUACUGUUCGUGGUGACUUGUUGAAGCCCGAUGACGACUGCAUUGAAUGGCUUAGCUCAAAGCCAACUUCCUCUGUCGUUUACAUUUCCUUUGGCAGCAUUGUGUACUUGAAACAAGAGCAAAUUGAUGAGAUUGCUUAUGGCCUUCUACAAUCUGGAGUUUCUUUCCUCUGGGUAAUGAAACCGCCCCAUAAAGAUUCUGGCAAGCAACCUCACAUGCUUCCGGAUGGGAUUUUGGAGAAAACUAAGAGCAGAGGCAAAGUGGUUCGUUGGAGUCCUCAGGAGCAGGUUCUUGCACACCGGUCAAUCGCUUGCUUUGUUACUCACUGUGGCUGGAACUCGUCGAUGGAGGCUAUUGCCUCUGGAGUGCCGGUUGUGGCGUUCCCACAAUGGGGUGACCAAGUGACGAAUGCCAAGUGUACUUGGUUGAUGUGUAUGGAGUUGGGAUUGGAAUGUGCAAGGGUGAAGCUGCAAACGAAUUGAUAAACAGAGAUGAGGUUAACAAGUGUUUGUUGGAGGCAACUGUUGGAACCAAGGCAAAGGAGAUAAAGCAAAAUGUGCUCAGCUUGAAGGCGGCAGCGGAAGCUGCUAUUAGAGAUGGUGGUUCUUCACACCGCAAUAUUGAAUCAUUUGUCGAUGAAAUAAGGAAGAGAAGCAUCGAAAUGAGGAGCAAAAGCAUGCGAUUGACUUCGAUCAAACUAGUUAACGGCUGAUUUUGCUAGGGACGUUCAAGUUAUGACCAAAGCUUUCUUGACAACUUGUAUUGUAUUGAGCUUUGCUAUAUUUUACAUGUACUUGUGUGUCUAGAAAUAAAGAAUAAGAAUGACCAACAAAAAUAUAACAAAAUAUUUUGUUUAGGCUGGUCCGCAAAUUAAGAAUCACAUUCACACCUGGUUAUGUAUCUGAUGUAAAUAAGGUUCUUCCAUUUUACAAAGCAAGUAUAUUUUUAAGAAACUAAGCACGUUUUGGUAAAGAUGCUACAUAAUCAAUAAUAAUUAUUCAUGAUGCUUCGUAAUGGUUAAUGUCGCUGCUAUUCGUCAUAUUUUCCUUAAAUAAAAAAAUUCGGAACAAGUUAUAUCUUAAAUUGAUUGAAGUAUGAAUCAAUGAUGUUAAAUUAGUUCUCAUAAGUGCUUGUUAAAAUUCAAACAUUAUUUAAAAGAUAGUUUCUCCAUCUAAGAUUAUAAUUCACUUGGCAAAAACAAAUUGUUACAAAAUGAUAAGUAGUUUUACAAGAAGUGAGCUGAAUGACAUAACAUGAAAUUAAAAUAUAGAAACCAAAUGUAAAACCUUAAUGGCAUGCACGGUUAUUAACUAUCCCAAUGCAUUAUCUCUUUAUUAACCAAUUAACCAUUCUAGUUAGUUGGUGCCACUGCCAUAUACUUAGUUUUGUAGUCAGUCCAGAGCUGAGUAACUGACUUCCCCAACAGUUCAGUGAAAUAACUAUCUGUUAGCUUUUGUAAUGGCAGCAGAAGCAAUAAGCUCAAAAACAGAAAACAUAAAUUAGAGAAGAAAAGAAAUGGAAGAGAAAGAGACAAUAACAAUGUUUACUAUGCUGCAAAUUUGAUACAUACCAUCCAUACAUCCUUCUUACAUACUUAUAGCCAAAUACUUAGUAAUGACUCAGCCUAUGCUUAGCUGAUGUCAUAUGACGUAAACCUACUUAACUCGUGCAGAUAACCUUACUUGUGCAGCAUAGUUUUACUAACAAAACAAGUUAAAAUGAUUACACACAUAAACAAUAAAGUAACAUAAUUCAGAAAAGUUUUAUAGGUCAAUUAGUCAACACUCCUCCUUAAAACUUUUUUGAAAUACUCCUAGCUUGCUUCUUAGCUCCAUGAACUUGGCACUAGGAAGUGCUUUUGUUAAAAUGUCUGCCAAUUGUUCUUCAGAACUGCAGUGCUGCAGUUUUACAUCUCCAUUUUGUUCAGCUUCUCUUAUAGCAUGAAAUUUGACAUUGAUAUGCUUUGUUCUUCCAUGUUGAAUUGGAUUUUUGGCAAUUGCUAUAGCUGAUUUGUUGUCACACCAUAGCACAAUUGGUUCCUCUUGUACAUGAUUCAGAUCACUCAAUACCUUUUUGAUCCAAAUAGCUUGAUUUGAUGCAGCUGCAGCAGCAAUAUACUCAGCUUCAGCUGAGGAUUGAGCAACCACAUCUUGUUUUUUGGAAUUCCAUGAAAAUACACCACUACCAAGUGAAAAAACAUAACCACUUGUGCUUUUAGAAUCAUCAAUAGAUCCAGCCCAAUCACUAUCAACAAAGCCUUCAAUCUUACCAUCACCUUUGUUGUACCAAAUACCAAAAUCAGUAGUACCUCUUAUGUACCUCAACACUCUUUUGCCCACACCUAAGUGUGUUACACUUGGUGAAUGCAUGAACCUAGAAAGCAAACUAGCAGAGAACAUCAAAUCUGGUCUAGUUGCAGUCAAGUAAAGAAGACAACCAAUCAAACUCCUAUAUUGAGUAACAUCUGCCUUAGCAUCUCCAUCAGAUUUUGAGAGUUUUUCAUUUACAGCAAGAGGUGUUGAAACAGAUUUACAACUCUCCAAUUUGAAUUUUUUCAGCACAUCAUUAGCAUAUUUCUUUUGUGAAAGAAAUAUUCCAUCAUCAAGCUGAUGCAAUUCCAUUCCCAAAAAAUACUUCAUCAAUCCCAGGUCCGUCAUUUCAAAGACCUGCAACAUGCUCUUCUUAAACUUGUUAAUCUCAUCAAUGUCAUUACCGGUAAUCAACAAGUCAUCAACAUAAAGAGAAACUAUAAUCCUCUUCCCAUUGCCACAUUCUUUAACAUAAAGUGUAGGCUCAUUUUGACUCCUCCUGAAAUCAUUUUGCAGAAAAUGUGAGUCAAUUCUGCUGUACCAGGCUCUAGGCGCCUGUUUUAGCCCAUACAAGGCUUUGUGAAGCCUAUAAACACUGUCUUCAUGACCUGCAACAAUAAAACCAGCAGGUUGUUCAACAUAAAUUUCCUCCUCCAGGAUUCCAUUUAAGAAUGCCGAUUUGACAUCCAAAUGAAAGAUCUUCCAUCCACAUUGUGCUGAUAGAGCAACAAUCAACCGAAUUGUUUCAUGCCUAGCAACCGGUGCAAAUGUAUCACCAUAAUCAAUUCCAGCCAUUUGAGAAUAUCCUUUCACAACAAGCCUUGCUUUGUGUUUGUGAAUGGAGCCAUCAGGAUUUAACUUGGUUCUGUAAACCCAUUUAACUCCUAUCACAUUUUUAUCUUUAGGUCUUUGAGUGAGUUCCCAUGUACCAUUUUUAUUAAUGGCCAGCAGCUCCUCCUUCAUUGCAUCUUUCCAUUCUGUUAUCAAUGAAGCUUCUUCAAAACUAGAAGGUUCAUUCUCAACAAAAUUGCAAUUUUCAUAAACUUCAGACAGAGAUUUGCUCUUUAGAAUUGGGGAAUCAGAUUCAGCUAUCUGAUUUUCAUCUUCAUUUGUUGUGUGCUCUUGUUUGUCAUGAGCACUUUCAGCAGAUUUUGUACUUCUUUGAACCUCAUCAUUUUCCCAAUCCCAAUAUGCAUUUUCAUCAACAUCAAUGUCUCUGCUGAUCACAAUUUGUUUUGUCUUCAAGUUGUACACUCUAUAACCUUUGGAGCUUGCUGCAUAACCCAAAAAAAUCCCCAUUUCAGCUUUAUCAUCCAAUUUGGAUCUUUUUGCUGCUACAACAUGAACAUAACAUAUUGAUCCAAAGACCUUCAAAUGUUUGGCUGAAGGCUUCACACCUAUCCAUGCCUCAAUUGGUGUUUUCCCUUGAACAGCCCUUGUUGGCAGCCUAUUCAAGAGAUACACUGCUGUAUAAACAGCUUCAGCCCAAAAGCUUUUUGGUAAUUGCUUUUCAGCAAUCAAACAUCUUGCCAUCUCCAUAACUGUUCUGUUUUUCCUCUCAGAAACUCCAUUUUGCUGAGGUGUGUAGCUCACUGUCAGCUGAUGUACAAUGCCCAUAUCUUCACAAAACAAAUUAAAUUCAUUGGAAGUAUACUCCUUUCCGUUGUCAGAUCUCAAAGCUUUGAUUUUGCAGCCACUUUGAGAUUCCACCAUAGCUCUAAACUUUUUGAAGACAUUAAAAGUUUGAGCUUUACUUGUCAGAAAAUACACCCAUGUCAUCCUAGUCAGAUCAUCAAUAAACAAUAGAAAGUACUUGUUGUGGCUAAGAGAGGGCACACUCAUAGGACCACACAAGUCGGUAUGAACAAGCUCCAAUUUUUCCUUUGCUCGUGUAACAUUUGUUGACUGAAAGGACUUUCUAUGCAUUUUUCCAAGUUGACAAGCAUCACAUAAAUCAUUAAUACAAUUAAUUUCUGGCAUGUCUCUCACCAUAUCAUGAGAUUGCAGAAAUUUUAAUGCAUUAAAAUUAAAAUGACCAUAUCUUUUGUGCCAUAGUGCAGAAUCAUCAUGUUUGGAAACAAGUGCUGUUUGAUUCACUUGAUUCAAACUUAAUGGAAAACUAUUUCCACACAUUUCAACCUUCACAACUUCAGAAUCAGUUGAAUCCAUUAUGACACAAACAUUAUUUUUAAAGGAAAUUGAAUAUCCUUUCUUCAAUAACUGAGCAACACUUAGCAAAUUUUGACUCAGAUCUGGAAUCAACAAAACAUCAUGGAUAUAUUUUGGACCUUUGCUAGUGUGAACAGAAACAAUACCUUUUCCUUUGGCCUGCACAUAUUUUCCAUUUCCAAUCUUCACUUUGGUUUGUACAGCUUUGUCCAAAGAGGUGAAGAGACUUGGUUCAUUUGCCAUGUGGAUUGUGCACCCACUAUCAACAUACCAUACAUCUUUAGAAGAAGAGCUACAUGUAUGAGUGGCCAUAAACAAGUGAUCUUCAUGGGCUUGUUCAUCAGUGAAGUUAACCUGAUGUGCAUGUUGUGGUUGAGAUUGGUUUUGUUUUAAUCGACAAAACUUCUCUCUAUGACCCCAUCGAUUACAGUGAUUGCAUUUAAUUUGGGGCUUUCCCUUAUAAAAGCAAUCUUUUGUCAAGUGAUUUGUUCUUUUACAAGUUAGACAAGGAGGGAACUUGUCCUUUGCUGCAGAUUCACUUGAACUACCAUCAUCUUUGUUCUUUCCUUUUUGAUCACCACCAUGUUUGUAGUUCUUUUUCUUCUGUCCAACUCCAAACUGCUUGUGUUUGGCCUGAAAAGCACCAUCAGAAACAUCAUCCAUUCUCAUAGAGAAUCUUUGUUCAUGAGCUGUCAAUUUGCUGACCAUCUCAGAAACAGUUAGUUUCUUGAGAUCACAUGACUCUUCAAUAGCAGCAACUUUGGCUUCAAAUUUGUCGGGUAAGCUGAUCAGCAUCUUUUCCACUACUUUGCUGUCAUCUACAACCUCACCAUGAAGUCUCAUUUGAUUCACCAAGUGAGAUAGUUUUGAGGUGUAUUCUUUGACAGAUUCAUGUUCCUUCAUUUUCAGCAUUUCAAACUCCCUUUUAAGAGUCAAUAACUUUAUGGAUCUUACCCUUUCAUCACCAGCAUACCUUUCGUCCAGCUCAUCCCAUAUUUGCUUGGCUGUUUCGAGAUGCAUGAUUCCCGUAAACACAUCAUCUGCCAAGGCUGAAUGCAGAACUGAAACCGCUUUCUCCUUCUUCAAUUUCUCCUCCUCAUGGUGUUUCAUUUGAGCUACUGUGGGAUUAGCUUGCAGUGGUGGAACCUGCUUGUCUUCAUCUACAUAAUCCCAUAAGCCAAAAGACUUCAAACAUGAUUUCAUUUUGACAACCCAUAUGUGAUAACUUUCCCCAGAAAAUUAAGGGACAGUAAUUACAACAUUACUACCAGAAGCCAUUUGAUUUCUAACAAGUUUUCUGGGUGUGUUUUUCUUUUUCUCACAGCCUCUAAGAACACUGCUCUGUAUACCACUGUUAGCUUUUGUAAUGGUAGCAGAAGCAAUAAGCUCAAAAACAGAAAUUAGAGAAGAAAAGAAAUGGAAGAGAAAGGGACAAUAACAAUGUUUACUAUGCUGCAAAUUUGAUACAUACCAUCCAUACAUCCUUCUUACAUACUUAUAGCCAAAUACUUAGUAAUGACUCAGCCUAUGCUUAGCUGAUGUCAUAUGAGGUAAACCUACUUAACUUGUGCAGAUAACCUUACUUGUGCAGCAUAGUUUUACUAACAAAACAAGUUAAAAUGAUUACACACAUAAACAAUAAAGUAACAUAAUUCAGAAAAGUUUUAUAGGUCAAUUAGUCAACACUAUCAUUAUAACUGGUUUUCAUCUUAUUGUUUAAAUCUGCAACAAAGCCAUUUUUAAUAAUACUAUUGCAAUAGUCCAGAAAACGAGCAGUGACAUCGUAUCCUUGCUUCUAAUCAUUUCCAUGCCCUGGAGAAACCCAUUGCUCUGCUGCAUAUCCACCUCUCAACCUCACAAAAUCAGCUAUGCCUUCAACAAGUCCUGAAGGAGCCUCACCGUUUCCAUCCCACUGCAAAAUGUGUGCUACGUAUACCGGUCAUCUUUUUUUUUUUUUUUUUUUAUAUUUCCAGGGUACCUUUCAAUGUAGUUUGCACUAGCAUGAAUCUCUCCGUUGCUAGAAUACGCUAUCCCAUCAAUUUUUUCUGUCUGUUGCUGAAGUGUUGUUCUGCUGCUGAAGAAGCUUGAGAACGAAGUCAGUGGCAGUGCUCGGUGUUUCUUUGGCAUAUUCUGUGCCCACAUAUUUCUCAAACAGCUCACCGAUGCUGGAUUGAGCAUUGUUGGACACAACGUAAUUCGUGCCCUCACUUUCAUAGUACAAAGCACAAAACUUGUUUAAGGCAUUGAGCCAUUGUUCUAUGAGAUGGGAUGGGAGAUAUAUAUAUAGGAGGAAUUAAUUAGUUCAUAUCAAAUUAAGCAGCAAAGAAUAAGGAGUUGCUAGGUGCAUGACAUCAAUCAAUUGAGUGAACAUAACUUUAAACCAUGUUAUAUAUGUUAUUUAUGAAUGGAUUUUCUUUUUUGCCUCAUUUAACGCCUCUAGAAGCGUGUGAUUCGUAUGACCAGUCACGGUGGUGAUAGAAUAAGUAAGAAGACCUAAUAGGAACACAAACAAUGAACUUUUUUUUAAAACUAAGGAUGAUAGGUCACGGCAGUAUAGAGGAGUCUACAACCUAGUCUACAGCAAACUUUGACUGUAUGUAGAGAAGACUAAAACUUUUAAAAGAAAUUUUAAUCUCAUUAGUUUAUUUUAAACUAGAUCGAAUACUUAUUUAAAUGUAUUUAUAUAAAAUGGGUUUUUAAAUAGGCUAAUAUGUCAUCUCAUAUUUUCUAAACAUGACUCAAAUCUAAAAUUGUUUAUCUUCUUUGGUUUGCACCUGAGUCUAAGAAACCCUUCGCAAUUUUUUUACACACAAGAUUGUGAAGAAAAAAAAAAUCAAAUUGUUUUUUUACCAUGUUAUCGAUACAAAAUUUUGACAAUUAAAUUCUUUUAUAUGCAAGAAUUAGAAAUCAAACUUCUCAUAACUUUCUUAAAGAACUCAAGUCUUUUACCAUUUAUACUAAUAAUCUAUGGUUGAUUUAACCCAAUUGUUUCUAUCCAUAUAUAAUAUUUAUUUUCUUUAUCUUCUCAAAUGUCGGUUCAAUGUGUCACCAAUCUUCCAAUAAAUCUAAGAACACCAUUAUUUCCUUUUAACCAUUCAGCUUUGUUCUUCAAAUAAUAAUAAUAACAGUUUCAAUGAGGAAAAUUAUAAGCUCCAUAUAGAGAUAUGUCAUAGGCACUUGUUGUAGAUAAUGUCAUUUGAAAGAAGGGACAUGGUUGAAUUUUACAAUUCAUAAAGGCCACAGUUCUCAGCCGAUUGUCGAGUUGAGUUUAUUUUUUAUUUUAUUUUUCUGAAAAAAUUUGGUAUCCGAUCCAACAAUCGACUGAUUCGAAGGGGAAUCUCACCGUCCACUUGCGGAGAUCUCAUUUAAAGCUUUGUAUGAACUUAUCUAUCGAAGUUGGUACUGGAGGGAAUCGAACCAGAGACCUUGAGACCGGGGGCGGUUUCACCGCCCGACGACCCUAGGUGGUCGCCCGGGCUCGAUCGAUAAUUUGUGUACAUUAGGUCGAACCCAAAAGCCCAUUAAGACACUAACAAAAAAAUAUUAUUGGGCAAACAUCCAAGGAAAAGAAACGCGCGCUUAGAUUCCAGAAAAAGAAAACACAAAUUUUUGUCGCAGUUUCCGCCUUUUCCACUUGCGAAUUUUAACAAGACUUGAGAAAGAUACUGAAGAGCCAAUUCCUGGUUGAAUAAAAAAUUCAAGGAGGAAAAUGAGUUAAUCUAAAACAGGAUACAUGAAGAAUGGAAUGUGCUAUGCGUUGAUGAUAAUGAAAACUUUUUGUUGGAACUGCCGAAGACAAAAGGUUAAGCGGCGAAAGACUUUAAUUUUCUCUAUGAAUGAGAUAAUGAAUUUAUUACUAAAAAUAUUAAUUAUGAUUAAUGGGUAGGUGAAACAAACAAUAAGUAUAUUGUUUUGGGAAAAGUUUUUUUUUUUUUUUUUUUUUUUUUUUUUUUUUGUUUUGACAAAUUGUUUUGGGAAAAGUUAUUAACAAUACAUUUGCAUUUGCUUCAAAAAAUAAAUGUGAUGAUUCUGAUAUUUUUUUUAAAUUUUAGUUACUACUUUGGAUGAAAUUUCUUAAGAUUUACUAAUAGCUUACACUAUAAUGUCGUCAAAGUUCGGUUGGCCACAUUGAGAGAUAGUGGUUGGGAUAAUUUAUUUGUUGUCGUACAAGAAUUUUGUGUUGCUAAAGGUAUUCUGGUGUCAAAUAUGGAUGAAGAAAUGCCGGUUCGGGGUCGUUCAAGACUAGCAGGGAGGAUUGUCAUUAAUCUUCACCUUUACCGGGUCGAGAUUUUUUAUGUUUCUAUUGACAAAAUAUGUGUGGAGAUGGAUCAUCGCUUUAGUGAAGGAAGUAACAUUGUGCUUGAUUGCUUCUCAUGUCUUGACCCCAAGAAUUCUUUCUACAAGUUUGAUGUUGAUAAGCUUCCUGGUCUUACUGAUAUUUAUCAUGCAGACUUAUCUGAUGAUGACCGUGGAACAGUAAGAGAACAACUUGACACUUAUGUCCUUCAAGUGAAAAAGGCUUGCUUCUUUUUCUUCUUGUGAAGAUGUUCAAAGUUUGGCUAUGAUAUUGCCGGUAUCGACAACAUCGGUUAUGAUAUUGCCGGUAUCGACAACAUCCGUUGAAAGAGCUUUUUCAGCAAUGAAAAUUAUCAAGACUAAAUUGUGCAACAAGAUCAACAAUGUGUAUAAAAUGACUUGAUGAUAUGUUACACCGAGCGGGAGAUAUUCAAGUCACUUGAUGAUGUUGAUAUUAUUCGAACAUUCACCGGAAAGAGGUCUCGGAAAGGACAUUUACCUCCUAAUUUUAUUUAGCACACUAUUGACAAAUUAUAUUUCAUCUCUCUUAUUUCAAACUGUACUUUUGUAGAAAAAAUGACGAUUCUCUUUUAUUUUGAUUUAUGACUAUUAUUAUAUAUUAUGUCACAUGUGAAUUUACGAUAAAUUUUUCGCCCAGGUUCUAUAAAAUUUCUGACUCCGCCACUGCUUGAGACGAGCAAACUCCAAGAUCACAAGUCAACCACUAGACCAACUCCAAAGAGGUUUGCCGAGUCUGAGUUUAUCUUUUACUUUAUAGUUUUUUCAAACAAAUGAAAUCUUUUACUUUAUAUUUCGCAAUAAUUCUUUUGUAACACCAUUUAAAUAUCUAUGAAAAGAUAGAUAUACACAAUAACUCACAUAAUAUAGUAUGGUGAAUCUUCAAAUUUUAACCCGUCCUGCUCCUAAGUGAAACUCAAUUCUAGUAUGUUAGUGUUAAUGAAAAUUGUUGAAGACACAUUUAGUUUGGCUGAGAAACACCAGUAAUUUACUCAAAUGCCCCUUCGGCAGUUAACUGCCGCGGAAAUUAACCGGCGGUAGUUAACUGGCGAAAUUCAAUCUAAUUCAUCGGCACUUAAGUGCCGUGGAAAUCAUUUACAGUUUCUUUGCGACAACUGAAGUAGAUAAAAUAGUCACAAGGAAGAGGGGUUUGAAUUGUGACCCUUUAAAAUUAUCAUGUAACUUAAAAAGUAAUUCUCAAGUUGAAACUUGGAAUAGUUAAGUUAAUGACAGACUUCAGAACGUUCUGAUGUCUGAGUGACAAAAACAGUUUAAAAAAGUAAAUGUGUUUGUGUCAUUGUGUUUGCAGUAAGUAAAGAGUAUAAGGAAGAGGGAAUCAAUACACAGAAGUUUAUAGUGGUUCCCCCAAUGUGGGUUAGUCCACUCCUCACAAUCUUGUGAGAGUUUCCACUAUGUUGCUUGAGAUAAUCUCUUAAUUCUUGCACCUUACAAUCUUUGUUCUCCUUAACAUUUACAAUUUUGUAUUCUCUAAGCCUCAGCAGGCUUGCACCUUGUUGCUAAGUUAACCACUUAGAAUUUUACAAUCUUUGCUCAAGCUAACACUUUAGUACCCCUAAAGCUAGAUGAGACUUGAUUACAAUUUGUGAGAAGUUUGAAUGUUUGUAAAACAAACAGAAGAGGAAAAAGAAGAAGUUAUCUUUAAGAAAGAUAACAGAGAGUAUUGAUGUGCACUUAUGUGAAGGUAACAAAAGCCUUCAGUGAUUGAUCAAUUUCAAUUGCAAGAGCUGAAAACAAUCUCAAGUUGUUUAUUUGUAUGCUUUGCAAUGGUGCAAGUUUUGCUAAGGCCUUGAUCUCUAUUUAUAGAGUUUUUGGGCUCAUAUAACCGUUGUAAGGUGCCCAAUGGUGUUAUGCCACGUGUCCUGGGCCCCACAAGCUUUUACUUGAAAAUCUAGGUGAACAUUCUGACCAUCAUAAUGUUGUUGUGUUUCCAAGAUGAACACCAGAAUGUUGUUGUGUUCUUCAUCAGAAUGUUGAUAUUCAUGAUGUUCUUCAUUUGGGUUCAUCAAUGAUGAAUGUCUUAUGAGUUUCUAGGUUUGUUCAAUUUGUGACAUGAUAUUUGUUGGGUUUUAUCCACCAAAAAGUAACUUCUCCAUAUGCAUCAAAAGUUGUUGGAUAAAGUAGGAUAAAGUUAUCAAAUCUGUCUUGGACUUGGUGCAGGAGAGAGAGAUAGUGGAUCUGCAAUCUUCAGGCCCAUGCUUCUAGGAGAUUUGCUUGAUUUUGUUCAGAGUACACGUUAUCUCUAAUGGAAGAUCUCCUUUUGCUUUGCUUGCUAACUUUUCACCAACUACACUGUUCAUAGUUAGAAGCAUGUGCAGAGAUGAACAUUCUGACCAUCAGAAUGUUUCAUUUGCUCUUACUUUAGGAUGAUUUGUAAGACUACUUUUUGAUGUAAUCAAUCCUAAUAGUAGAUACAUAACUGAAGUGCAGUAAAGUAACCUCUAGGAUAAUAUCCUCUUUAAAAUAUUCCUAAAACUUCAAGUGUUCAUAGUUUUGAAUGAACCUUGAAGACAUUUUUGACACUUUUGCUUGUCCAAGCCUUUAUUGCUGAUACAUCCAUGCAAUUGUACUUUCCUGGACAUAUUUUUAUGUCACGUUGUAGUUUGCAUGUUCUUCAUGUUCUUGAUGAUUCUGGGUUUGUUUAUGAACAACCUUCUGAAUUAUCAUCAGAACGUUCUGAUCAACUUCAUUGGUCAACUUUUUGAACUAACUUUUUGAACUUCAGAAUUAGUUCAUGGAUUCAAUGUCCUUUGAUUUCAUGUAUCUUGGUAUGAUUUAAACCUUAUUCCUGUCUUAGUAAAAACACUCAAGAGCACAAGUUAAAUACCAAGGAAUUAAUCAAAGUUUAUUAUAUUUUUUUUGAGAGAAUUGGUCGCUUUAGAUGUGUUUCCAUUUUAUGGCAUUUGUACCUAGAUUAACUUGCAUUAAAUUGUAAAAAUUGCAGCUGCAUUACAAUCUUUUGGCUACAUUAUUAAUUAAACAAAAAUGAUAUUUAGACACUUCAUAUCCUCUAAUACCUCUCAAGUCUCAAUCUAGUACAUACGAUCAAAUAUAUGUGUAGUGCAAUUAAUAAAUGACAAAGUGGUGAUCACGGAAAGAGAUGAUUUGUGCUUAUGACAUAAACAAUUAGUUAUCUUGUAUUUAUGUAUUCACUCAAAAUAAGGAUUAUAUAAGCAGAAAAAACAAAGCAAAAAGUUUGAUUCAAUAUAUUCAAAAUGGAAAAUGCUAUUUCAUUAACUGAAUCUACCAUUUUUUUAGUGAUAUAAUGUACAAAUGGAAACAAAUUAAUGUUUAUAAUGUAUUGAUUUCAAUUUACUACAAUAAUUCAACUAAAGCAAAACAAUUCUAACAUGUAAAACAGAGGGUCACAAUUUGAGUAUUCCCUUUCCAACUCCCUAAAAGUAAAUAAACUCCUACGUCUAUAGACAAGAAAGAACAUAUAAAAUUAGUUAAGUUUCUUUGGCGUACAUGCAGCAUCAGUUCAGUGACCACGUCCUUUGUGGCUUGGUCCAGAAUAAGCCUGGUUGAUUAUUAAACUUAUGACGGAAGGAGCAGAUUGAUCUUUGAGAGGUCUUGUCCCCUCAACUUGUAUGGAGUGCGAGAGCAAGAGAAAGGAAAAUAUCAUCAAAAAAAGGGCAUUGAUAAUAUUAAGAGUAAUACCCUGCAGCUUCAUUUUGUAUAUAUCUAACUUCCAAGAUGUACCAAACCGUACACAAUAUAUAUUAGUGGGUUAAUGGUGUCGUUUGGAGCAUGAAUGAUGAGGAAUGUUAUAUAUAUAUAUAUAUGUAUAUAUAGCAAUGUGUAUGGAGAAUGACUGAAUUGAAGAUUAAUUGGAAAAAGGCUUGUUUUGUUCUUUAUUGACUUAACUUGUAGCUGGUGGCGGGGUUGGAAGGUUAUUAUUAUUAUUAUUCUUUCACUACUUUGAAUUUUUAAGUCUGAACAACCCAAAAAGCAACUAAAUUUGAGUUUUGAAAUCCAACACGGCAAAAUGUUUGAAAGAAAAUGCAUUCUUAUACGAAAGAGUACGAGUUUAUGACUUGUACACAAAUAAAAUAUUAGGAAUAAGUCAAUUACUCGGACAGAAUAUUACUGUGUGCAUUGUAGUUGGUGGAUGUUACCUUUCAAUUUGACUUAUUUUGUUAUUACUGUCUGUGUUUCCUCUGCAAUUGCAUUGAGUUAAUUUUACAAAAUUCAUUGUUUUCAUUAAAACCGAAUACUUAUAAUUGUUUUUUUUGUUUUAAUAUUUAUUUGAAGACUGAAUCAUAUAUUUAAGAAAAUAGUUCAAAUGUAUUUUUUAGCAAUUGUUUUUAUUUUGUUAAAAGAAAAUAAAAGAUAUAUAUUGGGUCAUGAUGACGGGUAAUAUUAGUAUUGGGAAGAAUGGGUCGUAGGCAGAGGAGAGGACACAACCUAAUACUACGGAGUACUUCUUUUCCCAUUAGAUUAGACAAGAGGACUCUCAAACUCUAUUAGCAGACUACCAAUUAAGAUACUCCACCUCCUACCAAAUUAAUGAUGUUAUCAGGAUAUUCACAUUUUCGUAUGGGUCGCUUAUGCUACUACACUAAGUGCUAUGCAAAUAUCAUAAUCGUGUGGUAUAAUUUUACACUACCAAAAAUGAAUGAAUAUGCAGAUAAUAACAUUUUCAUUUUUUUUUUUUUAAACCAAGAUAAUAACAUUUUGAUAUAUUGACGCAAAAGUGACGUGAAUAUAAUUAAGGUUGAAAUCCUAAUGAUAAAUAUGUAAAUAUCUAGCAUUAUUAUGCAUGUACACCAAAACAACAUGGAAACAAGCAAAAAAAGAUGUUUCCUGGUUCCAUUACCCUAAACAAUUUUGACUACGUUACGGAAGUCUACCGUAAUUCUUAUUCCAAAGUUAACCAGCUCUCAAUGGUCUCAAACAAUUCUUAAUCAGCUAAAGACCAAGCCAAAUUGUCAUCCACAACCAAUAAAUUGGCUAUAAGACCAAGCUAAAUUUAAUAAGCUGCUAUUUGGAGAAUAAAACUAUUGUAUAAAAUCUCUUCACUAUACUCUGCUUCCAACCUGAUGCAACGAAAUUAGUAGUAGUGGAAAAAAGUAACUCCUGCGAGGAGUCUAAGAUGAUCCGGUGUUGAUGCCUAGUAGUUGCCAGCAAGUGAGCUCUAUUUGACAUGCCUCGAACCUUUUACCAAAGCAUUUUCAUCUCCAUCCCUGGUAGCUGCAUAAACCCAAACCUGUGCUGAUUUUUUGGUCAAAGUCAAGGAGGGUUUAGAUUUAGGUCUUGUUGGCCGUUGUCAAGCCUAAUACCUACCAAACCAAAUCUGCCACUCAUAUAGUGCUGAGAAAUUACCUAUUUUGUUUGCAAGCAGGACUGAAUUAUACAAGCAGCUUAUUAUGCUUCUCCAAGACUAAAUCGACCCUCUUCCCAGCUGUAAAAGUGCCGCCCGGUGCACUAAAGCUCUUGCAUACCCAGGGUCCAGGAAGGGGUCCCACCAUUUUGGUGUAUUGAAUGCAGCCUUACCCUGUUUUUACACAAGAGGUUGUUGCCAGGACUUGAACUUGUGACCUUUUAGUCACAUGACAACAACUUUACCGCUGCGCCAAGGCUCCCCCUUGCCCUCUUCCCAGCUGUAACUGCAAUAAUGAUGCCUGAUUCAAUAACUAAGCAAGUGCUGUCGCAUCAAUCUCAAUCCUGUUAUAUAAGAAAAUGGGGGCAAUACAGAGAGAGGUUCAGAUUCUAUCAUUUAUCCGUAAAUAGUAUAAUUUGGCAGAGGCCAUCACAUUAAAAAGAACUGGUAUGAGAAAAUUAAAAUGAUAAAGGUUAUAAAUUGCUCAAGGUUACAGAUGACAAAUGGUAUUCAUGAUUAUAGAAUUAGUAUAGUCUAAUAUCAUAAUAUCAAUUGCAGUAGCUCAAGGAAAGUAUAAAACAUCAAACCUGAAGCAAUAUAAACUCUUGAACAUAGUCGAUUACUCCAUGGCAUACACACACACACACACACACACACACACACACAUAUAUAUAUAUAUAUAUAUAUAGGGGAUGUAUCAAAUGAGAGGAAGUGUUAUAAUGAGAGAUGAGAGGAGUCAUUUAUAUCCGUUGGAUUCAAUUUAAUGGUUAAGAUUAAAAGCUCUUAUCUAGGGGGAGCACGUGCUACUUUUCCAGUAAAAGAUACGGUCACGUGCCUUCGAUCUCUUCUUUCUUCUGCACAACAUACUCUUCCUUUUCACUAACGAGGAGACUGUUCUGUUCCUUUCGUUAAUGCAACAACAAUCGUCUACUCCCAAAAGACACACCUUCAAUUAAAAAAUCUUCCCUGGUACUCUUCAAAUUGUAAUUUAAUUUAAGAAUUCUAAAUCAAUUUCUGGAUUCAACAAAAACAGACAUCGAAAACCAUUCUAAAUCACUUUCUGAUUGUUGUAAUUUUCAAUAAUCAACUCUGAAUUUUCUAUUAAAAAAGAAUCACGCUUUUAAUCAAAUAAUGAAACAGGGAUAUUUGAGUAUUUAGAGUUUUUUCUAUUAACCCAAAUUCUCUUCUAUAAUUUCAUCCAAAAGUCAUGAUUUUUUAAUUAAAAACAAAUAAUAGAAUUGAUGCAAUAAAAUGGUCUUGUUAUGGCUGGAAUCAGAGAAGUGAUAUUUGGAAAAAACAUACAAUCUGCAUCAAUGUGUAUAGGCGAGCGAGAGGGAGAAAUGAAAGAUAUAAGAAUUGAAAAGACAAUGAAAUGAGAGAGAUAGCAGAAGCGCAUAUGCAUCUAGCAACUAAAUUCAUCCCAACUGUUUGAUUAGAUCUAAGGUGAUUCUUAAUUUAAUUUUUUAAUAUUUUUGAAGGAAAAAACGUAGAAGCAGAAGGAGAUGAGGGUAGGCGAGAGUGGAGAAGAUGAAAGGUAGAGGUUGUAGUGCAUGACCCUUUUUAAAGAGCAAUUAAAUCUAAAGCGUUGAUUUUGAUCCAAUGGUCCAGAUUAAUUCCUUUCAUCCUCUCAUUCUAACUACUUCUCUCAUUUGAUAUAUACUUGCACAUCAAUUUUAAGAUACUUCCAAAGUAUGGAAACAUGAAAAACUUAUUGAACAUGUUGCUAUUCUUUUCAUAUUACUUAGUACACACUUUAGAUGUUCUGUCCUGAGCAUGAGGAGGGUGUUGAGAGUCCUACAUUGAUAAGAGAUAUGGCAUAGGUACAGCUUAUAAAACUAUAAGGCAGUAAAGCUUAUAAAGUGAGGAUUGUCCAAACAUAUAGGACAUGUUUGUUACAUUCGUUUUUAAAGCUAUUUAAAAAACAAAUCACUUUUAUGAGUUUCAUUGGUUUGUUACUUAAAAAAAAUGAGAAUCUGAAGAUAAAACAAAAAAAUGGAAAGCCUGUUUUGACUAGUUUAUCUUGAAAAUUAUUUUUGAAAGAUUAAUUUAAAAAAAAAAAAAUCAUUGUAGAGAACAAACGCAAACAAAUAACUAUUAUUUUUCUUAAGAAUCUCUAUAUUGUUGAAUACCGAAAUCACUUUUUUUAUAACUGGUAACAAAUUGACCCAUAAGUUUUGUUGGGUCGAGAUUGACCUUGAACCUAAAUUCUAAGAGAACUACUGAGGAGGCAAAUGAUAGGCAAAAACUUUGUUUUCGCCUCAUGCCUGCAGCUAUUACAAGCCUUGACACCGAUUUUAAGACAUCUGAAAAAACUAAAUUGCUACUGGUGCACAAACUAAUACCACUAGGCUGGCAAGCCAAAUAAGCACAAACAUACUUAAAAAUUUUCAAAGCAAACUAACCUGCUGUAUCUUAUCUUCAUCUUCUCUCUCUCUCUAAUUUUGAAUUCAUCUGGUGGUGGUGCAAUGUACUUACACCUAUAAAUAGAAACAGAGUCAUGUAAAAUCAAUGUUAGUGAUAUAGUCAUUGAGAAAUAAUUGAUGAACUAUGAAUUAUAGAUAGAGACCUAAGUUAUGAUCAAUAACCAAGAUAGGAAACUUUAGACAAGACAAUGAAAAAGAUUAAAUGAAUAAAAAAGGAGUUAUACGAUUCACAUCCAUUAAACAAGCACAAACACAGCAGAAAAUUAUUAGCAUUCACAUUAAAGUAAAACAUACUCUGCAGAACAUCAUGGUUGAUAGAACUGUUGGCUUGUGACAUGACCGCAUAGACUCACAUAGCAAUCAUAGAAUUUUGCUUAAUUUCCCAUAGUAGAAGAAUUUGACUAUCUGAGUGUUACUAUGGGGUUAUAAACAAACUUCCUCCAUAAUUGUCAUCAACAGCUUCCUACAAAAUUUAAAUCAGAAUUAAUUCAAUAUGUAUUGAUGGAGAGAGAAGAGAAAGCAUGUGCUAAUAAAAGUGUUUCAAGUUUCCACUACAUCACAAUACAAAAAAAAAAAUUUGAUCACAACCUCUACAAUUUUUCAAUCAACAGUUGUUUGUAACUAUGCACAUUUCCCUGUUAAGUGCUCCCCUUGUUUAAGAGGGGCCAAAUUAGAAAUCAACGUAUUAAGGUCAUCAGAAAAUUCAUUAAGGAACAUACAAAAUAUUUGUUGACAAAUAUCCUUGGAGUUGAUAAAAGUUUUUUUCUUGACUGUUAUAUGUUUUAUUAUUUUGUUAAGGAGCCCUUAUCCGCCUCUGUUUUGUAAAUUUUUGUGUUCGCACUGAUCAAUUGCUCUUUGAUUAAAAUAGAAACAUUUAUUUUAGUUCCAAAAGAGUAAGCCCUGCAUUUAGAAAGACUUCAACGAAGACUACCAAAUACAAUUUCCAUUAAAAUGUACAUUUUCCUAAAUACAAACCAGGCCAGCACUAGAUUUCCAUCCUAUUAAAAUAUUUCAAGAGCCACACCAUACACCCCUGCUCUCUGCAAAUUUCCCCCCUAUUUUCAUGAUGUCUUGUUUGGUUGAUAAGAUAUACCUGAAGGUAUGGAAAUACACCAUUAUACACUUGUAGGAAAAGUUGUGAUUUUGCUGCAAACCUGAAAACAAAUGAGUCACUCCAAAGUUUGUCACAAGAUAAUAAUCCAAAAAAUAAUUAAUUUAACUUCACAACAACCAUUUUGAAAUAUUCUUUAACAUGUGACUGUCAUCAACCGAAUUUGAAAUACUCUCUCUGGUCCAUAUAUAAGAAAAAGUUUGGUGUUUUCUUUGGUCCUAAUUAUAAGUGUCACAAAUCUUGAAAUGUACUAAUUGCUAAAACUGCUUGAUGCCAUUUCAAUAUUCACUACAAACGCAUCUACUCCCCAUAAAAGUGGGUGUGUUAAUGCAAGGGUUAUAGUAUUUGAAAUAAAGGUUCAACAUUGGAAUGUUAAAUGAACUUCCUUGAUCAUGAUGAUUCUUUUCUUCUUAUAUAUGGAACCAGAGUUAGUAUAACAAAAUUCUCAGGAAGUUACAAAAACAAAAAGCUAUCUUCACUGUAUAUAAGCCUAAAGAUGGACCUACAGACACAGAAGUCAAUGUAUCAUUAAUAAAAGUUUUUUAAUUUAUAGACACACACACACACUGUUGCAAAGUGCCUCUAAAAUGAAGAUUGAGAAAGUGAAGAAUCGUGACACGAUUUUCUAGGUAGUGAGCAUGGUUUGCAGGGCGUCCAAUCGUGACACGAUUUUGGGAAAACGUGACACGAUUUUGACAGAUCUGAAACACGUUUUAAGUACUCCAUGACCCAUUUUUUGGGUAAGCUUGAUGAAUCUCAUGGAAACCAAAGGAGGGAACUUUUAGGGUUUUAGAUACUAAAGGUUGAGGGUCUUUGGGUGAGGUUCAAAGCUUCAAGAUGUGAAUCUUGGGAGAACCAAAAGAGGGGGCUCUUGGGAAAAGGGUUGGUGCCUUUUGGAGAAGAUUCAUGGGGUUGGGAAACACAUGAGUGGAGAGUCUUUUGUGAGCAACUUGGGUGAGUCUUGUGAAACCAAAAGAGAAGAUCCUUAGUGAAAUCAAAGGCUAAGGGUUCUCUUUUGGGGGUUAGAUUCUAGAGUUGGGAAACAAUUGUAAACACCUUGGGAGAGUGAAAAUCAUGAGUGUCUUGUUCAUUGGUGAGAUUGGGAAAAUGGGUAGAAAUUAGGGUUGUUCUUUGUGAGCUUGUUAAAGCUAAUUUCUUGUAACCCAUUUGUAUCUCUUUGUAAGAACUCAUUGAUAGUGGAUUGGAGAGAUCAAUCUCUCCUCCAUAGUAGGUCAAGUUUGGACCGAACUGGGUGAACAUUUCUUGGUGUUGUUAUCUUUCCUUUACUCUCUCUUUAUCUUGUUUAUUCCUUGCUUUUGAUUGUGGUUUUGCUAUGCACUUAGUUAAUAGACUAGGUCUAUAUUGUUGUUAUUGCUUGUGGUUUUUUACAUUUGGUUAUUGAUUGCUAUUGAUACUUGCUCUACACAUCUUUGUUAUUCAUUGGUGUGAUUUUUACCGGAAUUCACAACACACACAGAUACAUACAUUUAUACACAUAAAAUUUGAGGUGGGAGAUACUAAGGAAAAAAGCACAUAAAAACAUAUGAAAACAAUGAGCCCUUCAGCAGAGUACAAUCCUAACUUGUAACAUUAAAAUACCUUUUCAGAAGCCGAAAACAAAUAUAAAUCUCUUCAAUAUCUUUUCCAAUCUUCAUUUUGAUAUACUGCUUCAGUAGCUCACACAUGAUGUUGACAGAGUCAUCAGAAAUCUGAUGGACUAGAUUUAGCAGGUGGAAUUCAGAUAUUAUUUGGUGCAAAACUGAUGACAGUGUGCUAGUCAACCCUGACUUAUAAUAAACUUCGGCAAGUUUAUUUAAAAUUAAGCAACUGCUCAUUUUAAACUCCUCCACCCAUUUCGGAGGAUUCCCAGCCCAAAGACAUUCAUUCAGAACAUUUGAUCCAAGAUUCUCGGAAUUCUUGACACCUAAUGACACCUGAUGGUUUUCACUAGGAGGAACCAGAGUAACAUUGGAGCUAAUAUCCUGUCUCCUGUGUGCAGGAAGCUGCAGAACAAUGACUGCUUUCAAAUCCUCAGGCAAUUCUCGUAACACAGAACCGUCAACUUGACUUAAAGAAGAAGGCAAUAAAUCAUCUUUUUCGAAACUUGAUUUGGGAUUAACGUUACAAGACGGCCCAGACCCUAAAUCAGGUACAACUUCACCUCCUUCCGCCUCAUGUUGCAUUACCUGGCAGUAAACCAUGAAUUAUGAUAUAUGUUGCUAAACAAAAUAUUCUCGGGGAAGUGGCACAAUAAAUAAUUACAAAUUAAAGCAAACAGGACUAAAAUUUAUUCCAUUUUAAUGAAUUAAGUCUGUGACUGUGUUACAAGGUGGAUAAAUUGAUUUGGGGGAAGGGACAUAGGAGUUGGAGUGAUAAGGAGAUCAUGUGUUCAACUCUCCCCACUAACUACUAGGUUUUCUGUUAAUUUUUUUUUUCUUCCUAGAGUCACCAAAAAGAUGAAAUCAAAUCAACUUUAUAAUUUGAUAUCUUGAUCAUCUCCACAUGAAAAUUUGAAAUUCUGUAUAUUUAAGUAAAGAUGGAGUAAAAAGAGAGAACUGUUAUAUUGACUAAUAUUCUCCAUCAUCCAAUGAUAUGAUCCAAGAUUUAAGCAUUAAAACUUAUGCAUACCACAAGCACUAAACUCCCAAUCCAAAUCAAUGAAGGGAAAAAGUCCAGUGUAGUACCCGUAGUUUAUUUAAAAAAAAAAAUUAAAAAAUUACCUCAAUCUCAGAUAAUGGCUUUUUUUGAGGAAUCGGAUCCACAUCCAAAAGCUCCUUUUCCUUGUUUGUUGCUGCAGAAUAAACAAUUUGAAAGCAUGUACGCAGAUUUGAGCUGUGCAUUAGUCCAAACUAGCUAGGAAAAUGAAAUAGAGAAAUGCUUACCUUCUUUUUCCAAAAGUGAGCUUUGUAAAGAGCUAGAACUCUCACUUAUGCCUUUUCCUUUAGUAAUAUAAUCAACUAACUUGCCUCCAUAAAUUUCAUUUAGUUCUGAAAAUACUUCUGGGGGAAGAUUCCUUAUAACUUCCACAUCAAGGUGACACAAAGGAGGUGGUGUUGAAAUUCGGUCAGCACUAGCUUGGUUAUCUUGUAUGUUGUUGUCCUUUUCAACUGAAGACCCUCGCAAAUCUCUACAUCCAUGAAUGGAAGUGCCGUCCAUAUUCUGCUUGUCAUGACCUGAAGAAAGAGACACCAUCAGAUGUCAUUUUUAUUAAUUUAAUCAUUAACAAAAUCCCAAAUGAGAACACAGUUAUUCAUAUAUGAUCUACACCAAUUAUCUUCUAAAUAAUAUCAUAGCAUAAAAGCCCUGUUCAACAACAAUUACCAUUACCCAUGGGAUGUUUCUGUUUAUCCAUACUUGCAGAUCUUGAAGUGACCCAUGAUUUCAAAUUAUAUUUUUCUGCACCUUCAUGAAAUAAAUAUUAUUAGACAAUCACAAAGAAAGAAAGUGUUGAAAAACAAUAAAACCAUAGCUCAAAACCAAGGAAAGCAACAAAUCUGUUUGGACAGAGAGAAGGAAAGAUGAGGAACAUCAAAAUAGCAAAUCUCAGCUUAAAAACAUAUGUUCUCCUUCAGUUCAGUAAGUCGCCUAUAAAUUUAGUAGCAUGCACAACAAAACAGUAUCUUAUUACAGCACAGCUGGGUUAAACUUCAUUGAAAAUAGUACAGGUACCUUGCUUAGAUGCCUUGCUACUUUCAAGUCUGGAAACUUGCAGGCCAAUACCUCGAAUCUCCUUGACAUCUACGUGAAAUAGCCAAAAGGAGAAGAUGAUGGUUAGAUUUCCAAUUAACUGGAGAUAUAUGGAUUCCCUGCAAAAAGUACUGGGCUAAAACACUAUAUAUCUAUGUUUUAGAAAUCAAACCAAUCACUGAAUCCUCUGUGAAACGUUAGUCUAUUAUCAUCAACAACAAGUGCUGAGCUUAAGUGCUUGAUAUGCAAGCAUUUAAUUAGAAUAGAAUAAGAUGAACACCAUCCAAUCCUGAAAGGAUGAAACAACUUGCAUCAAGUGUUUAAUGAAACUUUAAGAAUAAACCCAAGGCCAAACCAAACCAUGUUAAUCAUAAAUGCAAAAAAAAAAUGUACAACUUUCUUAACCAUCGUCCUUAUAUAGUAUGGUCAUAUUAAAUAUGGCACUUUUGCUUUAGUUUUGGCCUUUCUUAUUACCAAAAUUUACCAAAAGCCUUUUUAAGUGUUACCCCCAUCAAAUGAAAUAGUAGUUCCUUUAUUUUUUUUGCUAAAGAAAUAAAAUGCAGCAAAGGAUUCAAGAGUCUAAGGAUAUACCAAGACUGGUCAGUUAUAGUCAUUAAAAUGGUGGAAAUUAAAAGUUAAGAUACCUAUAUAAAAAUUUCCAAAAAGCUGCUUUGCUAUCCUAUGGAGUACUUCCAAAUUAUCAGUAGCAACGGGAAUCUACAUCGAGUAUAUCAAACAGAAAAUUAGUACUUGAAACAAUUAGAAAAACUUUUGGAAGACUGGAUAGCAGUUUAAUGCAUAAAUGAAAAAUGCUGGAUGUUUCAAUAUUUACCGUUACUGAGUGACUCAAAUUUUCACAAUCUCCACAGCCCAUAAAUUUUGCAGGUUCAUCAGCAUCUUUUCUUCUCUUUUUGAUCUAAAACAUAUAUCCAAAAAAAAUUAAAAAAUUUAUAUCUUUUGACUUAGAAGUUAUAAGAAACAUUUACAAUAAUAAUAUAAAUGACAGUUUAGAAAAUAAAACAGGACAUGAAAAGCACCUCAUGAGCCAAAACCGAAAGUUGAUAUCUGAAUAAUCUUAAAAUAAAAAUCUAUCAAGCUAAACGUAAUCAAUACCUUGAGAGAGAAAGUGCGCCCUUGCAUGCCACAACCUUGCAAUCUUAAUGAGACCUCCUUGCAAAGGUUAGUUAGGAAGUUCUCACACUGGAAAAACUUUUUAGUCAAUAUUUUGAUUGUUUUGUUUUGCAAUACUCUAAGGCAAAAAUAAAAAUAAGUUAUGUGUAGAAGAGUACUGACAUCUUUCAUAUCGUUGAACCUCACACCCCAAUUUACAUCAGCACCAAUAGACUUGCAUUCCUGCAUAUGUGUACAUAACACCAUCUUUAUGAAAUGGCUUCAAACAUAAGCUUGUCAAGAAAGAACAAUUAACCUUCAAAGGAAGAAACGAGGAUAAAACACCACAUUUGAGGUGAAAGAUUGAGAGUAAAAUACUAGCCAGUGGCAUCAUGUUUAAAUCAUGUUGUGGAGCAUAAAUAUACCAAUUUUGAUUUCAGACUGAGAAUAUAAUUAUUUAUCAUAUUAACCUGACAAUUUAUAUCCUUCAAUCCUAGAUCACUUUAAAAAUUGUUAGUCAAUGACUAAACAAGGACGACAGUAGAUCAAUGCAAAGGGGCAACUUACACAACCUAUUGGCACAAUGUACAGUGGAGGAAAAUAGGUGGAUUAAUGUGUGUGUGUGUGUCCAAAAUAUUGUCAAUAUUCCAAGUCCAAAUAACGAGAAAUCGAGUUUGGAUUUUAAAGAUGAAACAAAAAUUCAAAAUGAUGGCCUUUUUCCCUACCUGAAAUUCCCCAACCAACCGGGUAUCAAUUCCUCUGCUAUAAUUCCACAGCAUUUCUCCUGUUUUCAUUCCAUAGUCCUUCUGCAGUGAGACCUGCAGAUGCAAAGAUGUCAGAUACUGACACAGUAGAAUUAUCCAAACAUUUUUCAACUAAUACAAUAACAACCAAGUCUUAUCCCACUAGGUGGGGUCGGCUACAUGGAUCUAAUGACGCCAUAAUGCUCUUUCAUUUCAUGUACCAUACUUCUAUCCAGCUCAUUAAUCUCUAGAUAUUUCUAUUCAACUAAUGCCCAAAAGAAAAUGAACUAGAAUUUGUGCUAAUUGAAAGAAAGAAAAAAAAAAUUGUUCUUGAAGGUUUUUGAAAUGAGCAGUUUCACUUAAAAACGAGGGCCGAAUCCUUUUAAAGCUUCUCCCCAAACGAGAAGCAUUAUAUUUUCUACCCUUGUGUUGUGCGGCUUCACCCUACCUCAUUUGUGUUUCCACUUUAUCCCUUUCCCCUUAUUUGCUUCAUUUUCUCUCAAUCUCGGGAAUCCUUUUUCGGGCUGUGGAGAAAUUUGUAUAGCCUCCCCUAUUUUCUUUCUCUUAUGAGCUAAAUUUGUGGCGAUUCCAUGGAGUUCGGGGUCGUGCUCACUCUAAGGAGAAGAGAAUGGUACACAGUACACACUGCAUGAUUUAGAGAGAAGAUGAAGAAUUUGUUCUUUGUGUCGAAUAAACUGUUUCUAAUUUCUUACACAACCUAUUCUCAUUUUGAGUAUAUAUUUUGGUGGUCAUUUGGAACUUAAUUCAUUUUGAUGCUAUAAGGAGGCUUAUGUCAACUUUAUUUUGUAUUGUAUUGGAUGUACUAAUACUAGAUUUGAAAAGUCACAAAAUGACCUUCAAAAGGGAGUCAAGGAACAGAAACUGAACUUCCAAAGUAUCAGAAAAAGAAAGAAAAAAAAUCAUUAAAAAGAAUAAGUCAAUGAAUAGUAAAACCUUUGAAAUCAUCAUCAACUGUCCGCACGUUUGAACAUUCUGCUUCUUCAAUUUUUCCUGUAAAGCAUGCCCUACUCCAGGAAGUGCAUUAAUUGGGAGUUGACUUAAAUGAUCUUCAACCUGGAAAAGUAAAACUAUAUAAGAGGGAAGGCGAAAAUAUUGACAUGUUCCACACAUCAACUAUUUUAUCAAAUUACAUAAUUUGUAGGGACUUAUUGUAGACCUACAUGUCCAAAUUUAGUAGAAAAGCUACAAAUCACAAGCACAAUAUUUUCGUUAACUAUCUGAAGAAUUUGAUAUGUAAGAUGAUCUAUAAAUAUAUUAUUGUUAUGUGAAAACAUGCAGCAGAAACCACCAUAAACAAUAAGUCUUGUGCAAUGUCCACACUCCAAAGUACAUGUCAAACAUGGAAUUAGAACUUGAGGAAAAUUUGAAGCAUCAUGGUCUGGAGUAAAAGAAUAUUUUUAACUGAACAUAACUACAUCUUCCAUGUCUAGCAUAGAACUAUCUCAAAGAAUUUCUAAUAAAAAAAUCGUAUCAUACAGUAUAAUCCACAAUGUAAAUACAAAAUUAAAAUAGCAACAAUUAGCAUUAACAACAACUCAAUCUUAUCCCACUAAAUAGGGUCAGCUACAUGGAUCAAAAGACCCUAUAAUGUUUUGUCAUAUAUCAUAUCUCUAUCAUUAAUUUCUAGGUGUUUCUUAACAGUUUCUAUUAUAGUUUAUUUAGGUCUUCCUCAGCCUCUAGCAGUUUGACUACCCUCCAUAUGAUCUACUCUCCUAGUAUAUAAUCUAAAGGUCUUCUCUCCAUGUACACAGACAACCUAAGCCAAGUUUCCACCACCUUUUCAACGAUAGGUGCUACCCCAACUCUCUCUCCAAUGUUGUCAUUCGUAAUCUUAUCUCGUCUUGUCUUAACACGCAUCCAACGCAACAUUCUCAUCUUUGCUACGCUUAUUAAAUUCUUGUGUUUGUUUUUUACCGCUCUGUCCCAUAUAGCAAUCAACAAAUAUCUGAAGAUAGUCAAAAGCUUUCAGCAUAUAGUUCAUGGAACAGACACUGUCUGGCCACAUAAAAUAAAGGAAUGUACAAAGAAAAGAAACAGGGCCGUAAUAUCAGUUACGUGACACCUCCAUCACACCAAAAAAUACAAAUUAAUACUGUCAGCAUAUAGAGGUGUUCCAUAAUUUUCCAGUCAGUUAGCGUGGCUGGCAUAACUGACAAUUAGUUAGUAACAGACUAGUUAGUUGCAGUCAUUAGUUAUAGUUUUGCUAUUGCAAGCUUAAGAAACUAUAAAUACAGUUGUAUUUAGCAGAUGAAUCAAUCAAUAACAGGUUUAAUCUCAUAUUCUCUUACCUAAACAAAACUCUCUCUCUUACACAUUUUCUCUCUCCUGUAGAUUCAGUAAUGAUUAAUAGAAAACUCCAAAACAUACCCUUUCUGGAGUUAUAUGAUAUUGACCGUUUGGCUUAGCAGUUCUAGUAGCAAUACGAGACAUAAGCAUGUUUCCAGCUAUGCCAGCACUGGCUGUACAUCCAGUGGUCUCAUAGAUCUCUUUCCUGAUUGAUGACGCUAAAAGUUCAGGAUCUUCAACCUUUGAAUGGGUGACAUCUAAAAAUGCUUCAUCACAGCUUACAGCCUGUAUUAAGUAGCGGUUAUAGCACUAAAGAUACACCAACUCAGAAUUUAUGAACUUAAAAAAUAUUAAACCGUAGAAAACCUGCACUUUGUUGCAAUGUCGAUGCAAUGUACUAUAAAAUUGAUCAGCUACCUGCAAAUUGUCCAACAUGUCUUGGUAAAAAUAAAAAAUAAGGGGUAAAAAAAGUUACAGAAAGAUAUGAAAUUGUUUUCUGUAACUUUAUUAAUUAAAUACACCCUUCUGUAACUUACUUCUUCGUACGCUUCAAAGUUGUAUGGAAAGAUAACAAGGUGGGGACAAAGAGCCUUGGCAUCUCGAACAAACAUACCAGCCUUAAUACCUAACAACGACAGAAGUCAUAAGUUACAAAGCAAAAAGAUAGACAAAUAAGGUAGCAUAUUGAGUCAUAUUGUCAUUUUAUAAUUUGCAUAUAACCAACCAUAACUACGUGCUGGGUAGUUUGCAGAGGAAAUCUCAGCAGUUCCCUUAGAAUUAUUCGAGUGGCAGACAGCUACAGGCUUAUCCAACAAUUCAGGGUGGCUCCUGAUAACCACCGAGACAAAAAAGCAAUCCUGGGGCAGCACAUGACACAACAAUAUAAACAUAACAUUUGUUUUUAAAAGUAAAAUCUGAUAAGCAUUGAACAAAGAAAAUUAGUUGACAACAAUUAGUUAUUUCCAACAUGUAUGUGAAGCCUACCAUGUCAACAUGGAUAACGACUGAGUUCCCAUAAACACUAGAGGCAUUGAUAUUAGAAAUUUCAUUGUCAAACCCAGUAGAAAAGGUUGGAAAACGCUUCCGAUACCGAUUUCUCCAAGUUCCAAUGAAGUGUAGCCGUGAGUUCUGCAUAUUGCAUAUACCAAAGUUCAACUAGGAUAUCACAAAAUUAUGGCAUCAUCAGUGGAGAUUAAGAGAUUGGUAACGUUAACAUUUUGCAUAAAUUUUAUGAUACAGUCGGAUAGGAAAAUCAUGCCAAAGUAAAACGAGGAGCAAGUCAAUAUCAUAACAGUAUAUCAUUUGAUAAGUUUGCAAUUUGCAUCCUUAAAGAAGGUUGAUAUUCUCCAUCUCCCUCCCUAGACAAAGUCAGUUUUUUUUAUUCUAUUUUUAAUCUUUAUUUUGAUUUUACUGUUAUGGGAUGGCAAACACAACCAAAUCCACCAAGGGUGCUUAAACUAGUUAUGACUCCCCCCAUCCUAUCUUUGCAGAAUACUAUAAGAGGAUUAAGAUGAUGAAUACAGUAGCCACCAUAAUAAGAGAAAAUGAAGGCAACCAACAAGAAUGUCACCAUUUUGACAAGUAAUGUGAAAAUCCAAACUUAUAUCAACUUCAGUACCUUGAAAUAAUUUUCCACAAAAUUAGGAUCGGAAAGAGUUGAAUGACACUGCUUAGAAGGCUUGGUGGAGGCAGAAGUUGGAAUUUCAUUUACGGAGCGGAGGCUACUAACUGAUGCAGAAGGUUCUUGACAACUAGAUUCGAGUUCACCUUGGAUGUUUUCCUCGUCUUUAGCAGCAUCAUUGCUUCCUCCCACUGGAUCUUCUUCAUCACACUUAAUUCCAGCACUAGCCAGCAGCUCUUCCAUCAUAAUUGCAUCAGUAUUCUCCGAGACAUUGUCAUCAGCUUCGGUAAUGAUUUGCCUGCUAGAUUCAACCACAUCCCCGACUUCGGAUGAAUGUCUACCCUCUGAUUUUCCAGCACUAAUAAAUGAAUCUUCAAUGUCUGACUCUACUUGACAAAGGGAAUCCUCAGAAUUUUUGGUAGUUGUGAAUGUGAAGAAUUUGGAUAGUUUUGGUUGUUGGUUAUUAGAAAGCUGGUGAAGUUGAUAAGGCGCCCAAGUCAAUAGUCGAUUAGAAGCAACAGAAUCUAAAAUCCAAGUUGGUUUUACAAUAGGAAGCCCUGCACUGAAAGCUCUGAGAUUCUUAAGUUUAGUGUGAGGAAGAUUGGUGCAGAUGAUAUGUGUUACACGAUGCCUUGAGAAAUAAUUCUCAAAUCUUCCACCAUACUUUAACAUGUAUCCACGCAGUUCCUGACUGGAUGGAACGGUGAAACCAUCGACAAAAAUUGAAACUCCGGCGAAUAUAGGGUUCCCACAAGAAGUGGAAGCUUCUUCGGUGUUAAACUGAUUGUGUAGUUUUCGAUUCUUCUCAGUCAUGUAACUGUAAUAGUGACAUUUUUCAAUUAAAUACUGAGAAAUUGAGAAGGAAUAAUAAGAAAAAUAAUAAUAAUAAACCUGGCAACAUCGGAGAAAGGGGAUUUUGUGGAAUUAGAAGAGUUCUUCCCCCAGGCGACGCCUAAGGUUUUCUGGUUGGUGGUGGUAGUUGUUUUCUGCUGCUUCUUCUUCCUCCUAUUAGCAUCAGAAGAUGAUGAUGCUCUUUUACAAGAAUUCAAACUCAUCUUAAUCUAAUCAACGAUUGAGGAAGGGAGUGAAUUGUGUGUAUCUACCACUUUUCGCACCAAAAGAUGAAUCAGAUCGCUGCGUUUUCUUUCAAAUCUUUGAAGCGGUACUCAUAUGUUUUGAUUCUUUGGCAGUUUUGGGUGUCACCUCACUUAGGGUGUCACAUCAGCGUUGACCGAGUCAACAAUGGACUUGGGGUCCAAAACUGCCAAAGAAUCAAAACAUAGGGGGCUGUUUUGUAUUUAAAUUAUUUAGGGGUCCAUAACCGCAACUUUUGGAAAGAUAGGGGUCCAAAAGUGCAAUUAAGCCAUUUUUAAAAUAGGUUUAAUAUAUCGUUUUGUCCCUUAACUUAUUUUUAGUUUUCCACUUUGGUCCCCUAACUAUAAAGUGUAUUAAUUUGGUCCCAUAAGUCUUCCUCCGUUUACUAAUGUGGUCCUUUCCAUUAGUUUUUAAUCUUAAAUGUCUAAGGUGAACCAACUUUGUAGGUGGUCUACCAUAGACUUUAUUAAAUUUUUUAAUUUAAACCGUUUGAUCUUUUUUAUUUAAAGUAGAACCUUUGGAUUACUCAUGUCUAUUUUAUCUUACGGUGAGUCAACAACAUCUAACUUUAUAUCCCAUUCUUCAUCUUCUUCCUUCCUCUUAUUCAUCAUUUUCAUCAAGCUUCAUAAAAAAAUCCAGAAAUUCAUCAACAAUAUCAUUAUAUCAUCACUACACCUCCUACCACCAUCAACAAUAGCAACUGAAUUAACGAUCAUAAAUUCAUCAACCAUUAACAACAUAAACUUUAAUUCCUUAUACAAAAAAUCAACUCAUAUCAGCAACAACACUCUCCCAUAAAUUCAUCAACGAUCUCACAAUGUGGUUGGGUCAUUCCAAAGCAUGUUAAUCAAUGUGUUCACUAUAAUAGACUAAAGCACAUCACAUGAGCUUGGAGUUUUCUUGUUGCUAAUAUGAUGGAAAACCUCACUUUCAGUCACUUUUAUGUGUUUAUGUACACUGCUUACUCAAUGACACACGCAUGUUAUACGUUCCUAAUUGUCACUUCUCUUUCAGUCUCAACAACAACAACAAAAUUCAAAUUAAUAAACAAACCCAUAAAUAAUUCAGCAACAUUCAAAUUCAUAAACAAACUCAAUAAUCUAUUUAUUGUCACUGUAACAGAGCGAUGAAUUUUCCCUCAAAAUUAGAUUCGAUAAUUUCAGAUCAAGCAUUACCGAAUUAUAUACAUCACAACUUCUAAUCCUUGUGAAUUAAACCACAACAAGUAGAAAGGAAAAGAAAGAUAUUUCAUUUCGCCACUGUUUGAGGUAAAUGACUCUAACCCACAGAUCCUUUUGCUAAACGUGUUCCAUUUUUUCAAUUCUCUUCAAUCCCAUUACUGGGUUUUUUUUUUUUUUGGAAUUUCAGAUCUGAGGGUACUGGUCAUAUGUUUCUGUUGAGAUGAUGAUGAUAGUUUUGUUAUUGAUUGUUGUUGAUGAUUUCUGGAAUUUUUCUAGGUUUUGUAUAAAGAUUGAUGAAGCUGAUGUUGAAGAUGAUGAAAAAGAUGAAUGAAGAAGAUGAUGAGGAAGAAGAAGAGAGAAGAUGAUGAAAAGUGAAAAAAAAAAUUAGACGAUGACGGUUCACUAUUAAAUACAAUGAACGUGCGAUCAAAUGGUUAAAGUCAUAUCAAAAAAUUUAGACAUUAAAAAACUAACGGAGAUGACUACAUUAGUAAUCGGAGGAAGACUUAUGAGACCAAAUUGAGACACUUUAUAGUUAGGGGACCAAAAUGAAAACAUAAAAUAAGUUAAGGGACCAGAUGAUGUAUUAAACCUUUAAAAUAAUAUAAAUCAAUCACUCAUCUUUAAUUUCUUUUUUUUUUACAAAAAUAUUUGUUAUUCUUACAAACUUUAAUUUAUAAAAAUUGCCUCAUUUGUAACACUAAAUAUUAUCUUCAUAAUUUACAAAAUAAAAAAUAAAACCCACUAAGCACACAUGUCAUACUUUAACUUAUAUUUUUAAUCAGAAUGCUAUAAAAAUGCGUUGGAGAAAUUGUAGUUAAGUGCAUAUAAACUUGCUGCAAGUUCUUUCCAUUGAGAAAGAAAAUUUGUUACCUUAUACUACUUUUUACAAUAAGGCCCUUCAGUGGAAGGGGAAGAAAAAGAUAGACCCAAAAAAAGGAAUGUAACUAUAAUUGACUAAUAAUUGGGUUAAUCAAGUGGGACUCCACAACAUGAUUUUUGAGAGUGAUUCAUCAGUCCUAAUAGAGAAAAUCAUUUUUCAUUGGAUUGAAUAUCUGAAUUUGAUGUUUUAAUUUCACAAAUUAAGAGCUUUAUCAAAAGAAGGGUUCCCUAAUAUUUAAAACAAUGAACUCGAGUAAAGAUGCUUAUUAUGAAUGGAUCAUCGUCCUCUUGCGAUAUUUUUAUGAUUGGGAAAUUUUCUUUCUUGCAUUGUGUGUAAAGAUGCUUAUUAUAAAGAUUUGAUAUCUACAUGUUAGAUUUUGAUGCAAGAAAAUGGUCUCUUUAUCAUGAGAUCUGACCUUUUGGUUAUGUGGCUGUUUGCGGUCGUGGGCUUAGUAUUUUUUGUGUGGCAUUUCGUUUGUGGAUCAACGAUCAAAUCAUCUUUCAAAUAGUUUUAGGCCCAUUGCUAAGAGAGAAGAAUUACGAAGGCAAGAAAACCAUGCAUUUUAGUUACAAUGUCAAGACUAGACAACUGACAAAGAUUGAGGGCACUGUUGUGGGUGAUAUUGAAGUAUGGCUUCACACCAACAGUCUAGUUUUAUUAAGAAGGACAGGAACAAUCAUUUGUUUAAAAAUAAAGGAAAUGGUCAUAUGUAAGAUUGAGUAAAAACUAAAUUAUGGAUAGUACUUGGAUAUUUAUUUUGUGAUAGUGCUUUGAUAAGCAUACGAGGAAGGGAAAUAGAAAUAGUGAAAUGUAAGAUUCUUGUUACUUAAUGAUGAUAAAUAAGUUAAAUUGGAACUCUGUGAUCAAUUGAAUGCUCUUCUGCUUCACUGUGUAGAUGUGUCCCUAGCUUUCUUAUUGAUUGCAAUGCCAAGUUUAAAAAAAUAAAAAUAAAAAACCACAUUUUCAUAUUUCACCUGCAUUGAAAGUUGAAACACUGCACCAAAUAUGACCAAGAGUUCUCUAAUACUUGUUUAGUCAAUUUGAAGUUCAAAAGUUAUAAACUCAAAUCACCUUUAGUUCAGACUUCAAAAAGUAAAAUGGGGGUUUUACGAAUACUUAACACCCAAUGUAUUUCUUGCUUGAUUAUGAUAUGAUAUAUCCUUCCCACAACCAAAAAAUGAUAUCCUUCCUAAUAAGUAGAAGUCAAAGUAUAUUAAUCUAGUUAAAAGUCCAAGUAUAAUUUAAUGCUAACAACACAAUAUGCAUUGUCAAAGUCCAAAUUUUUCCAUUCCGGUGGCAAUAUGAUCUUCUAUAUCAAUAUCCAUACAAUUUUUUUUUUCUUUUCUGAGGGCAUUUAACAGAAUGUAUGAGACAAGGUUGAAUAUUUCCAUAGGAAAUUUUUUGAAAUUUGAAUAUUUUCAUAUUUGGAAGAGAAUAUUAAACAGGAAAAUGAUGCCAAAUGAAAAGAAAUCCCUAGCAAGGGAAAAUAGUAAAAGAAGAGAGACGGAGAUGGCAAUGUUGUGAGAAAGGAAUUCAUGAUCAUAAUACUUUAAGACAAAUGCAAACAUGUGCCCCAAGUGAUUCUCACACGCACACGACAUUGCCUGAUCAAAUUGUCCCUCGUUGGAAGUCUAUCAAGGAGAAUUUUCCAAGAUAAAGCUAAUCACUUUAGAGGGAGUCGGACUCCUCCAAAGAUAUCGUCUAUCAUUCAUUAGGAAAUGUUGGAAUUAAUAAUAAAUAGAGAAUCUUACAAGUGUUGAACAAGCAGUAGGAAAAUAUUAAUGCAACUGAAAUUUAUUAUUGUUAUGCGAGGAAAAACAACAAACAGUUGAGCUGCACUAAUCGCAGCAGCAUAUCACCUUGAGCUUAUCAGCGACAGAUUCAUCAACCGAAUACUGCAGUAGCGAUAUGAGUAAUCAUCAAUUAAGAUCCAUCAUCAGAACUGAAUGAGUAAAGAAAAAAGGACGAACCUUAUGAAGAACCCAUAGAGAAUGAGUGUAGGUACGUUGAAAGAGAUCAUGGAGAGUAGUGGAAUCAGAAGGAUCGACCUCACGGUAAUUAACGAAGUUCUCGCGAGCGUACUUAGCAUAAUAACCUCUUGAAUCCUUUGGUAAACGCCGCACAAGUCUCAGAACUUCUGCGUAUGCUCUCACCGCUUUCUCCAUCUAAUCUAAUCUAUCUAACUCUUCUCCUUUUCAAACUUCCUUCCUUCCUUCCAAGCGCUUUGUGGAACUUAACUAGUCAACCUCAUUAAUUACUUUUUCGUAUAUAGUUUAGAGAUCUUUUUAGUUGAUUUAAAUAGUUUAUGGAUCAAAAUGAUGAAAAAUGGACGGUUUACGGAUUAAUUUGACUAUUUAUUCUUUAAACAUAUAUCAAAAUACUUAUGUAAAAGAUGAUCAUUCCGGUACUCAUGGAUUUUGAUUGAGUAUGUAUCCCUCAUCCAAUCUGUUUUGAACGGGUCAGAAAAUCAAUCCCAUUGUGACUUGUGGACUAGACGUUCACCGGACUAAGACGCGCCGUCCGAAGGAACAUAUCAGUACCAGUACGUCUUACCCCAAUGGAACACGCCUCUGUGAAUCAAAUAUCGUGCAUGUGUCCUCCAACCGUCUCAUAAUCACACGUCACGGAGGCGGUUAUUCUCACACACGGCUAUAUAAGGGUGAGAUAGCUUCUCCCCUAAAGUAUGAUUCAUUUUUCCUACACUUUUUAUAUACACUCUUUCUCAGUUUCAAUGGUAACUUGAGCGUUUGAGUGCUAACGUGCCUGCAGACACUCUUCAUCCCACCACGAAGACUCAUCGCCACCAUACCGGAGCAUCUUCCGCCACCGUUACUUCCAUCAGUUCUUCACCGAACAUAUCACAAUCAAUCAAUGAUUUGUCACAUUUUUAUAUUAAUUAUUUUUGGUACAUCAUUUUAUAUCAAUUUGUUUAAAUCAAUUCAAAUGUUAAAUAAAUUUUACUUACGAGAAGUAUCGAUGUUCAACCAAAAUCUAAAGUAUUUAGAAGUUUAUAUUAAUAAAGAGCAAUGAUAUAUCUCUAGAAAAAUAACAUCAAGAAUUUUUCAAGAAUAAAGAACAAUCAAUCACAAUGCACUAUUUACCACAAUUCAAGGAGGUGUGACUGAAAAGUAGAAAGUGAACAAAUAUAUCAUGCAAUUAAAACUUGUAAGUUGUGUCUUGAAAAAAUUUUAAUGUUAUUUUUCUAGAAAAAUAGCAUUUUCCAUUAAUAAAUUCAGUUUAAAAUUUUUAUUGGAGUAACUUGCUAAUAGUGCACAAUUAGGAUUUAGAUUAGGUACAAUUAGGAUUGUUCAAAAAAGGGAAGAAAAAAAACAAAACCGUUAUUGAUUCCUUUCGGAGUACCUAACAAUAACGGCUAGCACUUUGGUGACAUUGGUCAUCACAAUAUUUGUGUUUUUCUCUCUUUUACAAGCAUUUUGACAUUGUGAUUGACAAAUCUCAUCAAUAUUACCCAACUUUAUGUCAUCCAAAUGUUAUCCAAGAAUAACAUGUGGUCCACUAGUGACUUUAGUUUUAAUCCUUUAUUUUGUUCUUUUUUAAGAAUAUAAUUUUUUUUUGGAGGAAGUGUAUGAAAACAUGACAAGGAUCUCACUUUAUAAAGUUGAUGGAAACUAAAUCUAAUGGUUCCUGUUGUAGAGUCUCCCUACGUUACAGAACUACGUAAAUGUAAAUAGAAAUAGAAACAUUAUAUUUGAAGGAGAAAUUACUGUGUAGGAACGAACCUAACAUAUCAUUCUUAUAAACAAUAAAUUAAAACAUGACACGUUAUUGUUUUAUUUUAAAAUAAUUAGGAAAUAAUUUAAGAAAUGAAAACUAACUGCUCCUCCUCUCUCUCAACCAUUAUUUGCGGUUGGUAUUCACCACCACCAACUGCUCCUCCUCUCUCUCAACCAUUAUUUGCGGUUGGUAUUCACCACCACCAAUCAUGGUUAAAAGAAAGAAAAAAAAAACGACGUGUCAUGUUUUAAUGUUUUAAUUUGUUGUUUGUAAGAAUGAUAGUUAUGUUCGUUUCUACACAAAAAUUUACAGAAAAAUGUAAUCAAUAAAAUAUUCAAAGAAAGCAACGAAUGAUGGAUAAACUAUAAUAGUAAUAGUGAGAUACAAAAUAAGUGUCCUCAAUUAAUACAAAACCUCCCCUGAAAUGAAUGUCUCAAGAAUGCAAACAAUGUAUGUAGUAAUAAACUCCCAUAUCACAUCGAGAAAAUAAUAAUAUAUAGAGGUAAAAAUAACAAUCUGAGUUCUGAAGAGAAGACAGAGGUAUCGAUCUAGAACAGCAAGGACAGGAAAGCACAUCCAAAUACUAAUCCAACCAUCUUAUGUGACCACAACUUCUCUGCCCCACUCUGCAAUGCAAUAUACCCACAAAAUUAAUUAGGCUAACAAUUUACUAUGUUUGCAUCAAAACGAUGUGCACACACAAAAUUUGGCUAGAAAAUAGUGGAAUGAUAGAUAAAGUAGAAGAAAAGGAAGCUUAGUUUAUACAUAAACAUGUUUUUUAAUUAGGAAAUUUACGAACCGAAAUAUUUGAUCUCGAAAUAAAGCUUUGAUAUGAGUCAAACUAAAGGGUUGUGUAUGAUAUGGGGAUCAACCUUAUUAGUAUUGAAAAUACCAAGACCUUUACAAAGAGAUGCACGCAUCGCAUCAUGUUAUAUACCGAUUUAUAAAUAAUGAGUUAGAUCUAAUAUAAAAAAUAUUAAUAUGACAUGGUAAACGUUGAUUUUGUAAGGAUAUGUUAAGUCCAAUAUUAAAAGCUAAUAAUAAAUAGUGAUCAAGUAGAGAGAAGUGAACUUACAUCAUCGGUACCGGAGGGAGAGAUAGAGGGGGAGAGAGAAGAGAGUCCGGGAGCGGGAGCAUCUGAUGGCGAGAGCACAGGUGCCAAUGCAGGGGCUUUACUCUUAAGCUUGGCAGGAGCGGGAGCUGGAGUAGUUGCUGGAGGAGAUGAGAGUGGAGUAGGUGUGAGUGCUGGAGGAGGAGUUGCUGGAGGUGGAGUUGCGGGAGGUGGAGUAGCAGGGGGAGGAGAGAAUGGUGGAGGUGAGGCAGGGGGUGGUGAUGCAGGUGGUGGAGUAGACUGAACAGGUGGAGGAGUGAGUGGGGUUGGAGGAGGAGAUUGCUGAACAGGUGGAGGAGAAGACUGAACGGGAGGGGGAGUGGACUGAGCUGGUGGAGGGGAUGACUGAAGAGGAGGUGGAGAAGACUGGACGGGUGGAGGAGAAGAUUGAACAGGUGGAGGGGAGGCUUGAGGAGUGGUUGGGGGUGUAUUAGCAGGAGGAGUGGGUGGUGCUGGAGAUGAGUUUGGGGAGGUGGAUGGAGCUUGUUGGGCUCCUACGCUGGAAAACACAACGCAGAUCAAACCAAUUACAACCAAAACUAUAUGAUGUGUGCCCAUCUUAAUUGUAUUGAUUUAAAAUGUAUAUGAUGAUAUUACUCUUUG